AACCCUCUUACCUGCGUUGGGUGCAAAUAUUUGCUCUUAUUUGUGCGGUAACUAUCGACGGUUGAUUGCAUGAUUCUCGUAUUGGUUCAAUAAACCUUGGUUCUCACUCAGGGGAAUACUUGUUGCCACACUACUACAUCAAUCGCUUCCUCUUUGGGGAAAACCCAACGCAUCUACAAAGUAGCAGAAGGAUUUCUGGCGUUGUUGCCGGGGAGAAUCACCAAUCAUAUUCAGGUUCCUUUACACACAUUAUCAUUUACUUGUUAUACCUUUUAUUUUCUUUUACUCACUUUUUUACGAAAAAAAUCUAAAUACAAAAGUGUUUAUCAUGCUUGCUUUCUUGUCACUAUGUCUCAAGAAAACACCAAACUACGUGACUUUCCAACACUAAUAAUAAUGCUUUUAUUAGUACUCAUAUACCACCCGCCACUAGUGUGGAGUCAUUUGAUAUUAAUGCCACAUUGCUAAAUCUUGUUAUGAAAGAAUAUUUUGCUAGAAAUCCUAAUGAUGUCGCAUUCCAUCUUAAUAGUUUCGUUGAAUUAUGUGAUAUGCAAAAGAAAAAAAAGAUGUGGAUAAUGAUAUUGUCAAGUUAAAAUUAUUUUCUUUCUCAUUAAGAGAUAAAGAUAAAACUUGGUUUUCAUCCUUGCCUCGUAAUAGUAUUGGUACUUGGGAUAAAUGUAAGGAUGCCUUCAUUGCUAAAUAUUUUCCUCGUGCCAAGAUAAUAUCUCUUAGGAAUGAAAUCACUAACUUUAAACAAAAUAAGCAAGAACAUGUUGCACAAUCAUGGCAAAGUAUUAAUUAAUGAUUAGAAAUUUCCCCACUCAUGGUUUGAAAUUAUGGAUGAUUAUACAGAACUUCUAUGUUGGAUUAAACUUUGCUUCGAGAAACCUUCUAGACUCAGCUACAUGUGGAACAUUUAUGGAAGUAACACUAGGGGAAUCCAUGAAGCUACUCGACAACAUAAUAACAGAUUACUCCCAAUGGCAUACCGAGUGAUCUCCAACUAGUAAGAAGGUAAACUCUAUCGAAGAAGUUUCCACUCCGAGUGACAAAAUGGAUAAUAUUAUUAAUAUGCUUGCUAGUAAAAAUGCUCAUGUUGAUCCAAAUGAUGUUCCUUUAUCUACCUUGAUUGAGCAAAAUAGUGAUGCUAUUGAUGUGAAUUUUGUCGCUAGAAAUAAUUUCAACAAUAAUACUUAUAGAGGGAACUUCAAUCCUAGACCGCAUGCCGAUAAUCCCUCUAAUAAUUAUGGUAAUUCCUAUAGAAAUUCUUAUAAUAAUAAUAGGAUACAUUGUGAACUUGAGAACAAUAUUAAAGAAUUUAUUAGUUCUCAAAAGAUUUUUAAUGCCGUAGUAGAAGGAAAACUUCACAAGAUGGAAGAUAUGGCUAGAAACAUGGAUAGAAUUGCUCAUGAUGUGGAAACUCUUAAAUUAAAAUGUUGCCACCUAAGUGUGAUAUUGAUGAGUCAAUAAAAUCUAUCAAAGUCUCCAUUAAUGAAAGGAAGGAGAGAACCGUUAGGCUGGGAGCUAAGCCAGAAUUCCUAAAAAUAACUAUUCCACCCGAUUUUUAUCAUAAUCAUGAUGAAGAUACUAAAAUGAUUGGUGUCUUAACAAUUUAAUAAUUGUAUAGUAAUAUGAAACUUUAUGAAAAAGGGACUCAAGAUGAGACAACUUUAUCUAGAGGGCAUCUCAAUUAUUUGGAGAGUGAUGAUCCUAAUGAAAAAAAUAUCAAACGUGGGUUUGAAGAGAUAGUGAUGUGCCCACUUUGGACUGUAAAGGAGUUAAUUUUGAUAAUUGUUAUUUAAUUGAUUGUAUGUCUCUAUUACAAUCCAUGAUAAAUUCACGCAAUACUUACGAACAAAAUAAAGCCUUCACUAGAUAUAUCGUUGAUUCUAUCUUGAAAGCUAAUUAGGAAAAAACUAGAGUUGGAAGUCUCGAUCCCUAGGAAAUUACAAGAUGAACGGGAACAUACUAUCAAGUUAAAGUUAAAGAUUAUGAAUGUAAUGCUUUGUGUGAUGUAUGUGCUAGCAUCUCUAGUGUACCAAAAUCUUUAUGUGACAUUCUAGGUCUCGCCGAUAUGGAUGAAAGUUCCCUUAACUUGCAUCUUGCGGAUUCAACUAUUAAGAAACCAUUGGGUAGAAUUAAUGAUGUUCUCAUAGUUGCAAAUAGAAAUUAUGUGCCCAGGGAUUUCAUUGUGCUUGAUAUUUAGUGCAACCCAUCUUGUCCUACAAUACUUGGUAGACCUUUCCUACGAACCAUAGGUGUAGUUAUUAAUAUGAAGGAAGAAAACAUAAGGUUCCAAUUUCCAGUAAAGAAAGGAAUGGAACACUUCCCAAGGAUGAUAAUUAAACCACCUUAGGAAUUCUUUAUGAUAGCCACCUAUUGAAUUAACUUGAAGAAUGAAAAAACGUGAAACUUCACAUUAUCCCUAGUUAGGGGCAUACAACAAUAGCGGUUGUUGGGAGGCAACCCAAUAGUUAUCUUGAAAUAUUGUUUUUAGUUUCUUUUUUGAGUGAUGACAUGAUUGUUCUACUGUAAUGAUUGUGUUUUUAUGUUUUAGUUUGUGUUUGUGCAAGUAAAGCCUUUGGAAUAAUUUGGAUGAUAGUAGAAUUGAUACGAUGCAAAAAAGAAACUUUUAUGUCCAGUAUUUAAUUUCUCCUUUUUAUUGGAAAAUAUUUUUGAUCUGAUUUUUUAUACAAUAUUUCUAUACAAAUUGCCCAAGUCUUUCUAAUAUUUUAGAAUUUUUGGAUUUACAUAAGUAUGGUUUCAGUACGGAUCAUUACAGACUAUUUUGCUUUAGACAGAUUCCGUUUUUUGCUUGCAUAGUGCGCUUGUUUAGUUAAAAUUCUAUGGAUUAUAUUGGGGGGUAUAAGUCAUGGGAAAGUUAUAAUUUAGUUCAAAUUUUGCAAGAAGAAUUAUGAACCUAUUUGCAAUAGUACCUAAAGUUUAUGAUUUGCCUAUUAUACUAACGAAUCCCACGAUGUUUCUCUUGAGUUUUGUGUGCUGAAGUUAUCAAGUUUUGGGUGAGAUCAUGAUGGAUGAACGAAUAAGGAGCGGCAAGACCCUAAGAUUGGGGAUGCUCAAGGCACCCCAAGUUAAUAUUCAAGGAAUACCCAAGCGUAUAAUAUUGGGGAUGCCUCAGAUGUCAUCCCCUCUUUCAUCUACAAUCUAUCGGUAUGUUAUUUGGAGAUAUGUUCUUAUUCAUCACGUGAUAUGAGUUCUGGUUGGAGCGUCAUGUAUUAUAGUUUGUUUGAUUUUUAGUUUGCCACAGUCAUUGCUUGCUAGACACAUAUUUUGAGAGAGACACGCAUACAUCAUAAUCUAUUAGAAUGUUCUUUAUGCUUCACUUAUAUCUUUUGUGUUAAGGCCAUUGUGCUUAAUGUGCUUCACUUAUAUCUUUAGAGCAUGGUAGAAAUUAUAUUUCGUAGAAAUCCUUAUCACUCUCAUGCUUCACUUAAAUCUUUUUGAGAGUCUCAUAAAUAGGAAGUGAUAAUUUGCACUAGUUAAAUGUUUAGUCGGAAAAGGAUAGGUAUACAAGAGGGAUAAAUAGAAACUUGCAUGUAGAUCAGUAAAUAUGAAAUGUAUGAUCAACGGUAUUGGAGUUAUAAUAGGGAGAGUUACUAGCUUGUGGAAAUUGAUUAGUAAGAAUAAUGAUAUUAAGGUCUGUGAUCCACCAUGUAUUAAAGUGUCGGUUGUGGCAUGACCAGAAAGUUGGAGUGUCUUGUAUCCUUGAUUGAAAACUAUGUGAGGUGUCUAGCCGAGGGCGCAUGUUGGUUAACUUGUCCCAACCUCCUCCCUAGGAGUAUGCGAUGAUUGCUUUGCUUCAACGGAGCUAAUAGAGUAAGUAGCUGAGUUCCUUGUGUUUAACAUGAGUUUGUGGAUCGUAAGCACUUCUAUCCUUCUGCAAUUUGCUAUCCUCUUCGGUACCUGAUACGUCUCCAACGUAUCUAUAAUUUUUGUUUGUUCAAUGCUAUAAUAUUAUCAUCCUGGGAUACUUUUUGGGUCUUUACAUACCAAUUAAUAUUAUUUUCGAGCAAUAACCUAUUAACCGAGUGCUCAAUGCAAGAUGUUGUUUUUUGCAUGUUUUUGGCUUUUCAGGUUACAAUACCAAACGAAGUCCAAUUGCCCCGAAACUUCUUUAUGAUUUUUUAGACCAAAAGAAGACUCGGAGGCUUAGGAAGGAGGCCUGAGGCCACACGAGGGACCCACCACACAACAGGGCGCACCCAAGGGGUGGUCUUGCCCUGAUGUGUGGUGGGCCCUCCAUGCGCCUCUUGACUUCCCUCUUCGUUCUAUAAAUCCUCAAUUAUCCCAAAAACCCUAGGGAGCCACCCAAAACACUUUUUGCAGCGAAAAGUCUCUGUUCCAUCGUGUGCCCAUCUGGAGCCCUUUUCUGGUGCCCCGACGGGGAGGGGAUCGAUCACAAAGGACCUAUACAACAACCUUGCUUCCCCCAUGGUGAUGUGUGAGCAGUUUACCACAAAACUAUGGGUUCGUAAUUAGUGCCUAAAUGACUAUCUCUCUCUCUCUCUUGAUCUUCAAUGCAAUGAUCAUUGCAUUUUGAUACGUCUCCGACGUAUCUAUAGUUUUUGAUUGUUCCAUGUUGUUAUAUUAUCAUCCUAGGAUACUUUUUGGGUCAUAAACUCAUAAUUCACCAAUUUAUAUUAUUUUUGAGCACUAACCUAUUAACCCAGUGCCCAGUGUCAGUUGCUAUUUUCUGUGUUUUUUUCAGGUUUUCAAUAUCAAACGAAGUCCAAUUGCCACGAAACUUUUUUAUGAUUUUUUUUCUCGACCAAAAGAAGGCAUGGAAGCUUCGGGAGGAAACAUGAAGCCACACAUGGGGCUUCCAAGGUAACAGGGCACGACUAGGGGGGAGGCCAUGCCCUGAUGCCUUGGCGCGCCCCUGUGGACCCACUUGCCUCGUUCUCUAGCCUAUAAAUUCCAAAAUACUCCAUAAACCCUAUAGAUCAUACGAAACACAUUUUACGCUGCCGCAAGUCUCUAUUCCAUGGUGAUCCAAUCUGGAGCUCCGUUUCGGCACCCUACCGGAGGGGGGAUCGAUAAGGAGGGCCUCUUUAUCAACCUUGGUGCCCUCCUGAUGAUGUGUGAUUAGUUCACCACACACCUACGAGUCUGUAGUUAGUAUCUAGAUGUCUCUCUCUCUCUCUUGAUGUUCAAUACAACGAUUAUCACAUCUUUGCUUUGAUCUAUCCGAUGUAAUUCUUUUGUAUGGUGUGUUUGUUCGGAUCCGACGAAUUGUGGGUUUAUGUUCAUAUUAUUCAUGAAAUAUAUUUGAGUCUUCUCUGAGUUUUAUGAUUCUUAUCUGCAUGAUCAUCGUAGGUUCGUAAUUCCCUCUGAUCUGUUGAAUUUCUUUGGCCAAGUAGUUUGGUAAUUCUUCAGUGAGAGGGGUGCGUUGUAGUGGGUUCAACGUGGCGAUCUCCUGUAUCCCAGUGACAUAAGGGGACAAGUUGUGUCUUUGUUUUGCUGCCACCAAGGAUAAAACAAUGGGGUUUAUUCAUAUUGGUUGAGUUUACUUUGUCUACAUCAUGUCAUUGUUCUACAAGCAUUACUGUGUUUUACUUAAUACUUGUAACACCCAAAAAUUUAGCCAUUAUUUUAUUUAUUAAAAUUUGGUCAUGGUUAUUUUAAAUUUUAUUUUUGGGUUUUCUGUUGUUUUCACAUCCCUUGUUUGCUUUAUUUUAUAAAAAACUCUCUUUCCUAAGUAGAAGUUUUUGAAAAAUAUAAAUUGACUUGAGUGUUUGCCUCAAAUAUUUUCCCCUUCAUUUCCAAAUCCAGUGAAGGCCUUUUUAUAAAGAUUUUCUUUUAAGUUUCACUUAUUCAAAAUUGACUUCUUAAUUCUUUAAAGACCCGAUUUGAACUACAACCAUUUCGUAACUUAGUUUAAAAAUUUCACAAAAAAUUGUGGAUGACCUAUGAUGCCCGUGGGUCAAUUUUAUGCAAAAACCUUGCCAAGUGUUGUUGAAAAAUUGAGUUCAUUAUCUUCUUUUAUCCUGUGGUCCAAUAUGGUGAUUUGUACUACAACCCCUAGAUAUACUUCUUCAAAAAUUCUAAAAAAAUUUGGAGUUGUCAAGGAAUUCAUAUUAAUCACUUUUAUGCAAAAACUCACUUUGGUGUUUUGAAACUUUUGAGGACCACAUCCUAUUUUCUUUUCUGGACCAGUUUUGCAGUUUGCACCACAACCCUAUUGUUUUCUACCCCAAAGCUUGUGAAAUUUUUACUACCCAUAGAGAACCCUGCCAAACCCUUAAGUCCAGAGUUCUAGCCCCAUUGAUAUUGUUUUAGCCCAUGUUGUAGCCUCACUUUGUUUCUGUCCAGAAUUGUAUUUUCUCAAAACUUGCACUAGGAAGUUCUUGUUUUGCCCAAUCUAACUACGCCAUCUUUUUAGCUUCCUAAGAUACCUUGGACUGGAAUUUUUGGUGGCCAGAGAACCUCUCUAGAUGCCCAUGACAUUCUGUCGAGCACCUUGUGUGCCUGACCAGAAUUGGUAUAGUUUUUAGGUUUCAUUGGAGGUUUUCUUUCUAUGCCCAACUAGCAUGUCUAGCAGAACCUUGGUAAACCUCUUAGCCACCCAGUGGAAUUUCAACUCAAACCUAAUGCCCUAGCUCGCCCUGGCAUUUCAUCGAGCACCUCUCGGGCAUGUCCUGAGCGUGCCCAUGAUGACGCACAAGUAUAGGGGAUCAAUCGUAGUUCUUUCGAUAAGUAAGAGUGUCGAACCCAACGAGGAGCAGAAGGAUCUGACAAGUGGUUUUCAGCAAGGUAAAAUAUGCAGGCACUGAAAUUGUCGGUAACAAGUGAUUGUAUGGUGAGAUGAUUCGUAGCAAGCAACAAGUAACAAAAGUAUUAACGCUGCAGCAAAGUGGCCCAAUCCCUUUUGUAGCAAGGGACAAGCCUGGACAAAGUCUUAUAGGAGGACAAACGCUCCUGAGGACACACGGGAAUUUCUGUCAUGCUAGUUUCAUCAUGUUCAGGUGAUUCGCGUUCGUUACUUUGAUAGUUUGAUAUGUGGGUGGAUCGGCGCUUGGGUACUGCCCUUACUUGGACAAGCAUCCCACUUAUGAUUAACCCCUCUCGCAAGCAUCCGCAACUACGAAAGAAGAAUUAAGACAAAGUCUAACCAUAGCAUUAAACUAGUGGAUCCAAAUCAGCCCCUUACGAAGCAAUGCAUAAACUAGGGUUUAAGCUUCUGUCACUCUAGCAACCCAUCAUCUACUUACUACUUCCCAAUGCCUUCCUCUAGGCCCAAAUAAUGGUGAAGUGUUAUGUAGUCGACGUUCACAUAACACCACUAGAGGAAAAACAACAUACAACACNNNNNNNNNNNNNNNNNNNNNNNNNNNNNNNNNNNNNNNNNNNNNNNNNNNNNNNNNNNNNNNNNNNNNNNNNNNNNNNNNNNNNNNNNNNNNNNNNNNNNNNNNNNNNNNNNNNNNNNNNNNNNNNNNNNNNNNNNNNNNNNNNNNNNNNNNNNNNNNNNNNNNNNNNNNNNNNNNNNNNNNNNNNNNNNNNNNNNNNNNNNNNNNNNNNNNNNNNNNNNNNNNNNNNNNNNNNNNNNNNNNNNNNNNNNNNNNNNNNNNNNNNNNNNNNNNNNNNNNNNNNNNNNNNNNNNNNNNNNNNNNNNNNNNNNNNNNNNNNNNNNNNNNNNNNNNNNNNNNNNNNNNNNNNNNNNNNNNNNNNNNNNNNNNNNNNNNAAGUAACUACUCACAAAGCAUAAUCAUAUUCAUGACCAGAGAGGUAAUGAGUAGCAUCAAGGAUCUGAACAUAAACUCUUCCACCAAGUAAUCCAACUAGCAUCAAGUACAAAGAGUAAUCAACACUACUAGCAACCUUACAAGUACCAAUCGGAGUCGCGAGAUGGAGAUUGGUUACAAGUGAUGAACUAGGGUUUGGAGAUGAGAUGGUGCUGACGAAGAUGUUGAUGGUGAUGAGUCCCCUCCGAUGAGAGAAGUGUUGGUGAUGACGAUGGCGACGAUUUCCCCCUCCGGGAGGGAAGUUCCUCGGCAGGAUCGUCCUGCCGGAGCUCUAGAUUGGUUCUGCUCAAGUUCCGCCUCGUGGCGGUGGCGAAACCACGAAAAAGCUCCUCCCUGAUUUUUCCCUACACGAAACCCUUCAUAUAGCAAAAGAGGGGGGCAAGUGGGCCUGCAGGGUGCCCACAAGCCCUCAUGGCGCGACCUGGGGGGUGGUCGCGCCGUGCAGGCUUGUGGCCACCUGCACGCCCCCUCUCGCACUUCUUUGGCCCAGUAUUUUUGAUAAAUCGGGAAAAAAUCCUCGUUGAUUUUCACGGCGUUUGGAGUUGCGCAGAAUAGGUAUCUCAACUUUGCUCCACUUUUAGGCCAGAAUUCCAGUUGCCGGCAUUCUCCCUCUUCAUGUAAACCUUGCAAAAUAAGAGAGAAAAGGCAUAAGAAUUGUACCGUGAAGUGAAAUAACACCCCAAGAAGUGAUAAAUAUCAACAUGAAAACAUGAUGCAAAAUGGACGUAUCAACUCCCCCAAGCUUAGACCUCGCUUGUCCUCAAGCGAAACCGAGCUCAAUAAAUAUGAUCACAUGUUUAGGGAGAGAGGCGUCGACAAAACAAGAUACGAACAUGCAUGCAUCAUGAUCAAGAUCAGAAUAGCAAUACCAACAUAUAAUCUCUCAUGCUAAAGUGAUAAUUCCUUCACAAAGUAAAGCAUGGAUCAAGAACCUUACCGAGAAGUAACAACCGAUAGCCUUUAGUCAUUGAAGCAAUUGCAAUUUAUCACUACAUCAUAAAGAGUCAAAUAAGAGCUUGUAAAGCAAAUCCACAUAAUCAAUCAUUCUUUCGUUCUCUACAAUUGCUACAACUCAUGUGGUACUCAUGAGAUCAAAGUUUUAGCUGGAAACAGAGAGAGACAGGGGCUUAUAGUUUUGCCUCCCAACUGCUUACCUCAAGGGUAAUGUCAACAAUAAUAAUUCAUGAAUGCCUACCUCCAAGUUGACAUAGGAAUAUAGAUCUUUCCCUAGCAUAUGACGUUAGCCAAGACAAAGGUGAAAUAAGGAAUUGGUGAAGAUCACCAUGACUAUUUCAAGGGCAAAAAGUAAAGGUACAAGAUAGGCCCUUCGCAGAGGGAAGCAGAGGUUGUCAUGCACUUUUGAGGUUUGGAUGCGUCUCCUCUUAGUGCGGAGGAACAUCACUUUAUAUUAUUGCCUCUUGUGAUAAAGAACUUUAUUAUGCAGUCUGUCGCUUUUAUGUCUUCCUGAUCACAGGUUCGUACAAAGCUUAUUUUCCACACGCUAAUAGAUCAUACAUUUUAGAGAGAAAUUUUUAUUGCUUGCACCGAUGACAACUUACUUGAGGGAUCUUAUUCAAUCCAUAGGUAGGUAUGGUGGACACUCAUGGCAAAACUGUUUUGAAGGUUUAUGGAUGCACAAGUAGUAUCUCUACUUGGUGCGGGAGUUUUGGCUAAUAUGAGGUGGAAGUAAUCGUCACAUGCUAAGGGAUCUCUAAUCAUAUAACAUUGUUCAGAGCCAAGCAAACACAAUUCAUUACGUUGUCUUCCUUGUCCAACAUCUACUUCUAGGCAUGCAAUAGUUUAGUGAGUGUUCACAAUCAUAGAUGGUGUCAGAGAUGAUAUAUUUAUAUGUGAACCUCUCCUUCUUUAUCACUUCCUAUUAAUUGCAACAAUGACCAAGGUCUAUGUUUGCCUACCCUCAACAAGUUUCAAUCCUCAUUCUUUUUAUAUGUGAAGCCAUCACUUCCCAUAAGAUCAUUACAUGAUCUUUCAUGCUCCUGUUCUAUUCUCACUCUUUUGAUCAUGGCAAGAGGCAAAGCCCUUCAACUAAGACACUCUUUAUUAUUAUAUGGCUCACGAGCAAGAAUACAUCGGGGGUGACACAAAGCAAAACUCAAGACUAAAACACUAAGACUUUUAAACUACUAGAGAAAAAGAAAACUGAAAAGGAAAACUUAAAACAAAGUUAAAGGCAAAAUUUGUGAUGGUGAUACGAUACCGGGGCAACUCCCCCAAGCUUGGCACAAGCCAAGGGGAUUGCCCAUACCAAUGAUCAGUUGCCUUCCUUUGGUGGUGAUGGUGGUGGAGUUGUUGAAGAGGUCUUGAGUUUGUUUAAUUUCCACCUGAGCAUAAAAUUCUGCUCCCUCAGAUCAUCAUUUUCCUCUUCAAGCUUCAACACCCUUUGGCACUUGAAGACUUGUUGCUCCAUUGCUUCGAGCCUCGUCUCCAUGCUCCCGGUCUUCUUAGGCCCCUCAACAUCACGGAUGUGCAACAUCCCCUCACACAUCUUGAUAGAUUGAGGGUGUUGCAACACUCCCGUGAGGUAGGGAUUGAUGACCUUCUCGAAGAUCUUGUCCUUCGGAGCUUUUGGGGAAGUCAUAGCAAUCUAGAUCUGCAAUAGAAAAAGGCUCGAAACGAAAAACAAAAGAGAUCCACGUGAUGCAGGGGUCAGACCAAACGGAAGUAUAUAUAAUGAUUUUUUCCAGACCGGAAGGAGUACCCUGCAUGAAAACGGAGUCCAGGAGGCGCACGAGGUGGCCACAAGCCCUCACGGCGCGACCAGUGGGUGGGCCCGUGCCAUGCAGGCUUGUCGCCUCCUCGCGUUUUCCGGACUACUUCCAAUUUUUGUAUUUUUUUUUCAAAUAUUCCAAAACGGAGAAAAUUUCCUACUGGAAAAGUUUAGGACUCUAUUUUCUUACCGAAUCACAUACCUCUUCGUUUUUGGAGUCUGAAACAGGCUGAUAAAUGUCCCUUAGGUAUUCUUCCGGAGUUAUGGUAUUGAUGAUAUUGCUUUCAACAUUUAUGGGAGUACCUGAGAUAUAAUGCUUGAUUCUCUGCCCAUUUACAACUCUCGGACAAUUACCUUCCGUGUUGUUGAUCUUGAUAGCACCGGAACGAUAUACUUCCUCAACAACAUAGGGACCUUCCCAUUUAGAGAGAAGCUUGCGUGCAAAGAAUCUUAAACGAGAGUUAUAUAGCAAGACAUAAUCACCUACAUUGAACUCACGCUUUUGUAUCCUCUUAUCAUGCCACCUCUUAACCUUCUCUUUGAACAGCUUGGCAUUCUCAUAUGCCUGAGUUCUCCACUCAUCAAGCGAGCUAAUAUCAAAUAACCUCGUCUCACCGGCAAGUUUGAAAUCAAAGUUGAGCUCUUUGAUUGCCCAAUAAGCUUUGUGCUCUAGCUCAAGAGGUAAAUGACAUGCUUUCCCAUACACCAUUUUGUACGGAGAUAUUCCCAUGGGAUUCUUAUAGGCAGUUCUAUAAGCCCACAGUGCAUCAUCGAGCUUCUUAGACCAAUUCUUUCUAGACCUGUUAACAGUCUUUUGUAGAAUUAGUUUAAUCUCUCUGUUACUUAGCUCUACUUGACCACUCGACUAAGGGUGGUAGGGAGACACAAUUCUAUGGUUGACAUCGUACUUAGCAAGCGUUUAAGGGAAAGCACCAUGAAUGAAGUGUGAACGACCGUCGGUCAUUAGAUAUCUAGGGACUCCAAAUCUAGGGAAGAUAACUUCUUUCAGCAUCUUGAUAGAGGUGUUGUGAUCAGCACUACUAGUGGGGGAUAGCUUCUACCCACUUAGUGACGUAAUCAACAUCAACUAGGAUAUGAGUAUACCCGUUGGAUUUUGGAAAAGGUCCCAUAUAAUCAAAGCCCCAGACAUCAAAUGGUUCAAUGACAAGUGAAUAGUUCAUAGGCAUUUCCUGACGUUUGCUAAUAUUACCUAUUCUUUAACAUUCGUCACAAGACAAGACAAACUUACGGGCAUCUUUGAAGAGAGUGGGCCAAUAGAAACCUGAUUGCAAUACCUUGUGUGCAGUUCUAUCUCCCGCAUGGUGUCCUCCGUAGGCCUCGGAGUGACACUUCUGUAGGAUCUGUCCCUAUUCAUGUUCAGGUACAAAACGUCUAAUAACACCAUCUACUCCUUCCUUAUAAAGGUGAGGAUCAUCCCAAAAGUAGUGUCUCAAGUCAAAGAAGAAUUUCUUCUUUUGCUGGUACGUGAAACUAGGUGGUAUAUAUUUGGCAACGAUAUAGUUUGCAUAAUUAGCAUACCACGGUGCACUACGUGAAGCAUUGAUGACAUUCAGUUGCUCAUCAGGAAAACUAUCAUCAAUAGGUUGUGGGUCAUCAAGAACGUUCUCCAACCUAGACAAGUUAUCUGCUACGGGGUUAUCAGCACCCUUUCUGUCGAGAACGUGCAAAUCAAAUUCUUGUAGCAAGAGAACCCAUUUGAUAAGUCUAGGUUUAGCGUCCUUCCUCUCCAUGAGGUACUUAAUAGCAGCAUGAUCAGUGUGAAUGGUGACUUUGGAAUCAACUAUGUAAGACCUGAACUUUUCACAUGCAAACACGACUGCUAAGAACUCCUUUUCCAUAGUGGCAUAGUUUAUUUGGGCAUUGUCUAGAGUUUUACUAGCAUAGUGAAUAACAUUCAACUUCUUAUCAACUCUUUGCCCUAGAACAACACCAACAGCAUAAUCACUAGCAUCACACAUGAUCUCAAAAGGUAAGUUCCAAUCAGGUGGUUGAACAAUAGGUGUUGUUAUCAAAGCCCUCUUAAGUAUUUUGAAGGCUUCCUCACAAUCAUCGUCAAAGACAAAAGGAAUAUCCUUUUGCAAGAGAUUAGUAAGAGGCCUAGAAAUCUUAGAGAAGUAUUUAAUGAACCUUCUAUAGAAACUAGCAUGACCAAGGAAACUUCUUAUCCCUUUGAUAUCUGUGGGGUAUGGCAUUUUCUCGAUUGCAUCAACCUUAGCCUUGUCGACUUCAAUACCUCUUUAAGAAAUUUUAUGUCCUAAGAUGAUGCCUUCAUUAACCAUAAAGUGUCACUUCUCCCAAUUCAAGACAAGAUUGGUGUCUUUACAUCUCUGUAAGACUCGAUCAAAGUUGCCGAGGCAAUCAUCAAAGGAAGAUCCGUAAACGGAGAAGUCAUCCAUGAAAACCUCAACAAUAUUUUCACAAAAGUCAGAGAAUAUAGCCAUCAUACAUCUUUGAAAGGUGGCAGGUGCAUUACAUAAGCCAAAAGGCAUACGUCUAUAAGCAAAGGUACCAAAAAGGGCAGGUGAAAGUGGUUUUCUCCUGAUCAGAUUGUGCAACUUGUAUUUGGGAGAAACCAAAAUAACCGUCUAGAGAGCAUAAGUGUGUGUGUUUAGACAGCCUUUCUAGCAUUUGGUCGAUAAAAGGCAAAGGGUAAUGAUCUUUCCUAGUGGCUUUAUUCAAUUUCCUAAAAUCGAUCACCAUCCUAUAGCCAGUAAUAAUCCUCUGUGGGAUCAAUUCAUCCUUAUCAUUAGGGACAACGGUAAUGCCUCCCUUCUUAGGGACGCAAUGCACCAGACUCACCCAAUCGCUAUGAGCAACAGGAUAGAUAAUACCUGCUUCCAGGAGCUUUAGUAUUUCUUUUCUGUGAAGUCAUGAUUAGUUUUAAUCUUGUGCUGGCAUAGGGUAGGACUAAUGCCCUUAAGAUCAUCAAGAGUAUAUCCAAUAGCAGCACGGUGCUUCCUCAGAGUUUUUAGUAACUUCUUUUCUUCAUGCUCUGAGAGGCUAGCACUAAUUAUGACAGGAUAUAUCUCUUUUUCAUCAAGAUAAGCAUACUUAAGAGUAUCAGGCAACUGUUUAAGCUCGAACACAGGAUCACCCUUUGGUGGGGGUGGAUCCCCAAGCACUUCAACACGCAAGUUAUUCUUAAGGAUAGGAUAUUGUUCUAAGACGACUCUAUCUAUCUCACCCCUUUCAUCCAUAUGCAUAUCAUUUUCAUGCUCAAGCAAGUAUUGCUCUAAGGGAUCAGUAGGAGGCACGACAAUAGAGGCCAAGGCAAUAGUUUCAUCCCUACUAGGCAACUCUUUUUCAUGAGGUUGUCUACCAAACUUAGAGAAAUUGAACUCAUGUGACACACCUUCAAAGCCAAUAGUGACAGUUUGCUUCUCACAAUCAAUAUGAGCAUUGACAGUAUUGAGAAAGGGUCUACCAAAUAUGAUGGUACAAAAGCUAUCUUGUGCAGUAGCAAGAACGAGGAAAUCAGCAGGAUACUUCGUUUUACCACACAAGACUUCAACAUCCCUAACAAUUCCCACAGGGCAGAUGGUAUCUCUAUUGGCAAGCUGAGUAGUGACAUCAAUAGGCUCUAUCUCAACAUGUGCAAUCUCAUCUUUGAUUUCAUCAUAUAAGGAUUGAGGUAUUGCACUGACACUAGCACCCACGUCACAUAAGCCAUGAUAACAAUGAUCUCCUAUCUUAACAGAAACAACUGGCAUGCCAACAACAGGCCUAUGUUUGUCUUUAACGUGAGGUUUAGCAAUUCUAGUAGCAUCUUCACAGAAGUGAAUAUUAUGUCCCUCAACAUCGUCGGACAGAAGAUCUUUGAUAAUAGCAAUGCUAGGUUCAACUCUAAUUUGCUCAGGGGGUGUAGGUGUUCUAAUAUAGCCUCUACGUAUCAAGUUGAAGCUUUAGAAUGAUCCUUUAUCCUAACAAGGAAAGGUGGUUUCUUAAUGUAAGCACUGGGAACAACAGGAUCAUUAUAGGCAAUGAGGUUCUCUUCAACUGGAAUGGGUUUAACUACAUCGAAUUCUAAAGGAGGAUGAUAUUUAAACCUCUUCUCUUUGGGGAGAUCAAUAUGAGCAGCAAAGGAUUCACACAAUGAAGCUACUAUCUUAGAGUCAAGUCCAUACUUAGCGCUAAAAUCACUAAAGGUAUUUGUCUCAACAAAGGAUUUAACGCAAUCAAACAUGAACUUCAUACCUAACUCCUUACCUUCUUCAAGCUCCCAAUAUUCAGAGUUGCAUUUCAUUCUCUCCAAUAAAUUCCAUUUGAAGUCAAUAUCUCUCGUCAUGAAAGAACCGGUACAAGAAGUGUCAAGAAUGGUGCGAUCAUCAUGAGAAAGCCGAGCAUAGAAGUUCUGAAUGAUAAUUUAUCUCGAGAGCUCAUGAUUGGGGCAUGAAUAUAACAUUGAUUUAAGCCUCCCCCAAGCUUGAGCGAUGCUUUCUCUGUCACGAGGCCAAAAAUUGUAAAUAUAAUUCUGAUCACGAUGUACUAAAUGCAUAGGAUAAAACUUUUGAUGAAAUUCCAAUUUCAACCGAUUGUAGUCCCAUGAUCCAGUAUCAUCACAUAGCCUAUACCAUGUCAACGCCUUAUCCUUCAAAGAUAAAGGAAAGACCCUCUUAUUGACCUCAUCCUCGGGCAAACCCGCAAGCUUAAAUAAACCACAAACUUCAUCUACAUAGAUUAGAUGCAAGUCUGGAUGUGAUGUUCCAUCUCCUGUAAAAGGAAUAGCCAACAGUUUCUCAAGCAUACCCGGAGGAAAUUCAAAGAAAAUAUUUUCAGUAGGUGCAGCAGGUUGACGAGCAACUCUUUGUACUUCCGUUCGAGGUGAAGAUACCCCGAACAAGCCCCUCAAAGGAUUAGUAUCCAUAGUGACAAGUGACAAUAAAUUUCAGCACACUAUAUGAAUGUUUCCUUACCAAGUUCCACUUACCAAAGGCGCUUCACUCCCCGGCAACGGCGCCAGAAAAGAGUCUUGAUGACCCACAAGUAUAGGGGAUCAAUCGUAGUCCUUUUGAUAAGUAAUAGUGUCGAACCCAACGAGGAGCAGAAGGAUCUCGCAAGUGGUUUUCAACAAGGUAAAAUAUGCAGGCACUGAAAUUGUCGGUAACAAGUGAUUGUGUGGUGAGAUGAUUCGUAGCAAGCAACAAGUAACAAAAGUAUCAACGCUGCAGCAAAGUGGCCCAAUCCCUUUUGUAGCAAGGGACAAGCCUGGACAAAGUCUUAUAGGAGGACAAACGCUCCCGAGGACACACGGGAAUUUUUGUCAUGCUAGUUUCAUCAUGUUCAGGUGAUUUGCGUUCGUUACUUUGAUCGUUUGAUAUGUGGGUGGACCGGCGCUUGGGUACUGCCCUUACUUGGACAAGCAUCCCACUUAUUAUUAACCCCUCUCGCAAGCAUCCGCAACUACGAAAGAAGAAUUGAGACAAAGUCUAACCAUAUCAUUAAACUAGUGGAUCCAAAUCAGCCCCUUACGAAGCAAGGCAUAAACUAGGGUUUAAGCUUCUGUCACUCUAGCAACCCAUCAUCUACUUACUACUUACCAAUGCCUUCCUCUAGGCCCAAAUAAUGGUGAAGUGUUAUGUAGUCGACGUUCACAUAACACCACUAGAGGAAAAAACAACAUACAACACNNNNNNNNNNNNNNNNNNNNNNNNNNNNNNNNNNNNNNNNNNNNNNNNNNNNNNNNNNNNNNNNNNNNNNNNNNNNNNNNNNNNNNNNNNNNNNNNNNNNNNNNNNNNNNNNNNNNNNNNNNNNNNNNNNNNNNNNNNNNNNNNNNNNNNNNNNNNNNNNNNNNNNNNNNNNNNNNNNNNNNNNNNNNNNNNNNNNNNNNNNNNNNNNNNNNNNNNNNNNNNNNNNNNNNNNNNNNNNNNNNNNNNNNNNNNNNNNNNNNNNNNNNNNNNNNNNNNNNNNNNNNNNNNNNNNNNNNNNNNNNNNNNNNNNNNNNNNNNNNNNNNNNNNNNNNNNNNNNNNNNNNNNNNNNNNNNNNNNNNNNNNNNNNNNNNNNNNNNNNNNNNAAGUAACUACUCACAAAGAAUAAUCAUAUUCAUGACCAGAGAGGUAAUGAGUAGCAUCAAGGAUCUGAACAUAAACUCUUCCACCAAGUAAUCCAACUAGCAUCAACUACAAAGAGUAAUCAACACUACUAGCAACCUUACAAGUACCAACCGGAGUCGCGAGACGGAGAUUGGUUACAAGUGAUGAACUAGGGUUUGGAGAUGAGAUGGUGCUGAUGAAGAUGUUGAUGGUGAUGAGUCCCCUCCGAUGAGAGGAGUGUUGGUGAUGACGAUGGCAAUGAUUUCCCCCUCCGGGAGGGAAGUUUCCCCGGCAGGAUUGUCCUGCCGGAGCUCUAGGUUGGUUCUGCUCAAGUUCCGCCUCGUGGCGGCGGCGAAACCACGAAAAAGAUCCUCCCUGAUUUUUUCCUCCACAAAACCCUUCAUAUAGCAAAAGAGGGGGGCAAGUGGGCCUGCAGGGUGCCCACAAGCCCUCAUGGCGCAGCCUGGGGGGUGGCCGCACCGUGCAGGCUUGUGGCCACCUGCAGCCCCCUCUGGCACUUCUUUGGCCUAGUAUUUUUGAUAAAUCGGGAAAAAUCCUCGUUGAUUUUCACGGCGUUUGGGGUUGCGUAGAAUAGGUAUCUCAACUUUGCUCCACUUUCAGGCCAGAAUUCCAGUUGCCGGCAUUCUCCCUCUUCAUGUAAACCUUGCAAAAUAAGAGAGAAAAGGCAUAAGAAUUGUACCGUGAAGUGAAAUAACAGCCCAAGAAGCGAUAAAUAUCAACAUGAAAACAUGAUGCAAAAUGGACGUAUCAGCCCAAAGCGCCCGUUUUGCAGCCCGUGCAUCUGAGUCACCGCGUCCCACCUAACACGCGCUCUCUAGCCCUUCCCCACUCGCAGAUCCAUUCAGCACAAUGCCAAGCCCAACCGACCGCCCAUGACUACUGCAGCCGUGCCGGCCGUUGAAGCCAGCAGCACCUCCUGCGGCAAUGGCAGCGCCGCCUCAGUCACCGAUGCCAGCCGCACGUCCGUGUAGCCAGGACCCUAGUCCUUUAGCUCAGCGCCAUCCAGGACCCCCUUUGACCACCGUCUACCUUCAUCAUGUAGCCUGCGAGCACUGUCGCCAGAGUUAUCCGAAUGCCAUCGGGAAAUGACGUAGCUCAGGUAUUUAAGCCCCCCUAAGCUCACCUAGGAGGAUAGAAGAGCUCCUCCGACCCCUCUCGAGCCCCCACUGCACCCAAUCGACCAGGGAGGAUCGUCUUCCUCACCUCCGGUCCCGUUUUGGCCGUCGCCCACUCGGUCUAAAUUCGCAACCAUUGAUGCCUCUCUGAUGCCGUUCUUCCCCGAAAUGGAACGACACGAGCUUUCCAAGCCUUCCCCCCUCUUCUUUGAGAUUGAGAUGGACCAUGGGCAACACCCCUUUGCUGGUCCGCGCUGCUGUCCGCCGGCCUAGUAGCCACCGGAGCUCCCAAGCUGCCCGGCGACCAAAUCGCCCCACUCUAGGAACGCCUUGGGACCCUGAGCAUGCUCGUGCUUUCGACUUCUCGAUUGGUGGCCCCAAUCGCCGACGAGCAUCGUCGGAGGCCUCACUCCCCUUCGGCCGAAGGAGGGAGAUGACCCGCUUGACCAGAGUCAAACCUGCGAGCGGGCCCCCUCAUCAGCGACAGAACCAGACGCCGCCCACUUACGUGGAGGCGCAUUCGACAGAGUACGCAACCCCUUCUGUGGAACCAUAUCCUAUUCCGAAGCGUUUUCUUUUUUGAUUUUAUAUUUAAAACAUAUUCUUGACCAAACUUUUACUCGCCCUAGUUUCUAAAAUAAAACUCCAAAUGAGCUGAUUCUUUUUCUCACCCUUUCAAAUUUUGUCUAGUUUAUUUUAUUAUUUAAUUGAAAAUUUUCCAAACAACUCUUGAGUGUUGUUUGUAAUGAAUGUUGAUUUGAGCAUUUUUUAAUAGGAAUUAGGAGAAAGGUCAAAACUUUCAAAAGUUUUGAUGUGCACCUCACCUGUCUACACAUUGAGGGCAAUCAUUUUUAACCUUGAUAUAUUUUGAUUGUGUGUGGGUUGCUUGAUGAAGAAAACACUAUGGUUAUGUUAAAUGAGUGAUGACAUUUCAUGUGAUGAUCAUGCAUAUGACUUUAUGAUUGAAAGUGCAUUUAUUGCAUUAUUGAGAUGCAUGAGACAUUAGUCACAUCUUUCUGCCACACAUGCCUAUCAAAUGGGAUCCGAAGAGAGUCAAUGUCUCGAGGAGAUACGACUUUGAGACUCACAUCUCGUGGGACGAGGAUGGUCAGUAGGGCAUGAUGGGACAUGAUAGGUAGUGACUCUGUCUGCGGUGAUGAAACACUUUGAUUGUGCUAAUCAUGCAGGGAUUAACUUAAACCUCCUGAGUCGACCAUAUAUCGAGUAUUGUCAGUGUGUCACCUUAACCCUUUUGUGUUGCCACAGGUCUUCCUGAAAGGAAAUAUGGUUCAGUAAGUCGUAAGCCUAUUAUCAGGUACACACCAAGUAGAGGGGCCGGGAUGAAGGUAUCCGGGGCACCGGACUAAAUCCAGUCAUCCGGUCAGGGGCAUGGGUGUUUCGGGUCUAGGACCGAGAGGGUAAGAGCUCUCCCCUUGUAGCACGCGGUAUGAAUUUGAUACCAUGCUAGUCGAUGUUGGAGUCUCCCCGUCUUUUGGUUUUUCCUUCGCGGGGUAGCCGAGUGAUGCCGAUCUUUGCGGGGGAAAAAUGGGUGUGUACUGGUUCUGAGUGUUUACUUCUGAGAUACCAUAUGCGGGAUUAGUCCAAGUGACAAUUGAAACCCGUGUGAUGUGGGUAAAGAGUACACCCUCUGAAGAGUCAAAACUAUUCGAGUAGUUGUGUCCAUGGUCAAGGACGACUGGUUGAGUAGUCAAGUGUCGCUCUGAGUGUCGGUCUUCGGAGGAAGUUAACGAAAUCGUGAGACUAAUCAUGAAAUAUGGUGGAUGAUCAUAUUAUUAUUUUUACUGUGGACUGACCCCUGUGAUUAUGAUUGUUGAAUAUCCCUGAGACGGUUCUACCUCAUGGAUAUUCAAUAUUUAUUAUUCUCAUAUAAGCCCUUUAUGUGGUGUCGCUUAGACGCCCGACUGCGGCAUGCUUAUUAUUAAUAUAAGCCCUUUAUGUGGUGUCUCUCAGACGCCCGACUAUGGCAUGCUUGUUAUUAUUUCUUAUAAGCCCUUUAUGUGGUGUCGCUCAGACGCCCGACUGUGGCCUGCUUGUUAUUAUUUCAUAUAAGCCCUGUAUGUGGUGUCGCUGAGACACCCGACGGAUGCAUGUCUUAUAUCAUAUCCGAUAAUUUUACUCUUAUUGAUUGCUCAUUAAUUUCUCACUAUGAUUAAAUUACUAUUUACUAGUACUGGAGAAGUUAUUGUAUGGUUGACGAAAUAUUGUGGUAUUAUUGCAAGUGCAUAUUAACCCCCUGCCAAUUUAUGUAUGUUUUCAUGAUGUUUGCGAGUACAUUCAAAGUACUCACUGGCUUGUCCCUGGCUAUUGUCUUGGCUGGAUUGCAUGCUUGGAAAGGAGGACCCGAUGUUAACCCCGAGACCUAGGCACCGAAGACAACAGUCGCAGGAGAUAGGAAUUAAUGAGGUCAGUUGUUCCUGUGGGAAAUGAAGUCCCAUAGACGUUGGAGAUCCCCGAACUGCUUCCGCCAUCAACUAGUAGAAACCUUUUUUGAUGUACUCCAUGGACCACCUCUUUAUUGUACCUCAAAUUUGUAAUUUUCUUGGACAAUUGUAUCAAGGAAUUGUUUAUCAGCUAAUAGUAUUCCUGGGGCUGGUAUGCACAAGGUGAAGGGAAACUAAAAUCCCAGAAAAAACGGUCCUGACAAUACUCUAUAUGCAUGCUAGAUAGAUGUCGACGGGUGGAGUAAUAGUAAUAGCUGCAGGCAGGAGUCGGCCUAUUUGUUUAUGGACGUGAUGCCUAUAUACACAUGAUCAUUGUCGUGAAAAUCGCAUAACUGUCCAUUGUUCGAUCAAUUGCCCAACAGUAAUUUGUGUACCCACCAGAUGUUGCUUUCAUGAGAGAUGGCACUAGAGAACACUAUGGCCCGGAUCUAUUCACUUAUAUAUUCAGAAAACUUAUAAUUUCCUCACUGUUAUUAUUUGUGCUUUACUUUAUUUUGCAAGUCACAACUAUCUAUAAUUAUCUAUACACCUCAUUCGCUUGCAAAUAACCAGAUCAAGGGGAUUGACAACCCUCUUGCCCGCGUUGGGUGCAAGUUGUUUGCUCUUUUGUGUGUAACUGCUAAAGACGGUUGGGGAUUGAUAUUCCUAUUGGUCCGAUAAACCUUGUCUUCUUAAUCGAGGUAAAUACUUAUCCACAUUGUGCUGCGAUAACCCGUUCCUCUUCACAGAAAAACCAACGCACAUCACAAGUAUUAGGAAGGAUUUCUGGCGCCGUUGCCGGGGAUUGUCAUCACCAACUAUCAAGUAACUUCACACAAAUUUUCAUUCACUUGUUAUUAUUUUUUAUUUUUUAUUAUAUUUUUCUUGCUUAAAUAAAUCAAAAAUACAAAAUAUUUACCUUUGCUUGUUACUCCUUUGCUUUUUUAGCUUACGCUUGCUUGAAAGUUGCUAUCAUGUGUGAAUUUGUAACGAGUGAUGCAUCUUCCUCUAAUGCGGAAGCCCUUGAUUAUCCAACUUCACCUUGUGAUGAGAAUGCUAAAAGAAUUUUUUUGAUGCAGUUGCCAAUGAAAAACUUGAUAAUCUUGCGUAUGAUGAUCCUCCUAAGGAAGAACCUAUUAUGCAAACUAAGAAACUCCGUAUAGGUAGUGGUAAUAUUAUUGGAAAGAGUGUAGUUCAAGAUUUUUUUCACUUGUGUGGGAUCAUUAACACUGAUAGGAGGUUCUAUUGUUGCUAGAACUACAAGUUAUGCAGAUGUUAUAUAUUUUCUUGUAGUACAAUUGGAAAGACAAUUUGUGCACAUGCAUCCUUUCGUACAAUGGUUGUUUGUAGAAUUCUCUAAUAUCCAUGAAGCUUCCACCAAACGUCUAGCCACUAUAUUUCUAGUUCAAGAAUUUAGUAAUAUCAUGCAAGAAGAUAGAGAUAUAUUUUCUCAUUAUAGGGUUAACGGUGAGUUCCCACCCACAGAGGGGAUUCUUUAUGAGAUGGAAGAAAUAAGAAAACUAAGAUCCAUCGACUAUGUUGCUUAUGAUGAGAAUCUUAGAAAGAAUGUUCCACUUAAUGUUUUAGUUGAUGAAAUUUCUGAACACAAUGAUCAAUUUGCUAUACCAAAACUAGUAUUGGGUUAUGAGCUUGAAAUAAAAUUAAUAAAAUACCUCUAUCAGAACUUAUACAAUGAGGAGGUAUUUCUCGGAUCCUUGUGUUGUGAUAUUUAGUCCUUUCAAUUAGUUUGCUUACCAAUCAUAAAUAUCGCUGCUAAAAGGAGGGAAUAUUACUACAACAUGAUGGGUCAUUUUCGAAAGGAUGACACCACUUGAUCAUAUGCAUUAUGCCUAGCUAGGGGCAUAAAACAAUAGCGCUUGUUGGGAGGCAACCCAAUAGUUAUCUUAAUUUUUUUGCUUUUUAAUUUAUGAUUUAGUGUAGUGACAUGAUUAUUUAUUCUGUAAUGAUUGUGUUUGUAUGUUUAAAUCAAUGUUUGUGCCAAGUUAAACCUUUGGGAUGACUUGUAUGAUAAAUAUAAUUGAUACGAUGCAAAAAAAAUAACUUUGACAUCCAGUGUUGAAUUUAUGUAAUUUUACUAGAACGUAUUUUUAAGCUGAUGUUUUACAUAGUAUUUCUGUAAAAAUUACUCAGAUCUUCCUAACAUUUCUGAAUUUUUGGAGUUACAGAAGUUUAGCUUCAUUACAGAUUACUACAAAUUGUUUUGUUUUAGACAGAUUAUAUUUUUGCUUGCAUAGUUUGCUUAUUUUGAUGAUGAUAUGGAUUGUAUUGGGGGGUAUAAGCCAUGCAGAAGUUAGAAUAUAGUACCUACUAUGCAAUAAUGAAAUAAUAAUUAAUUUACAACAGUACGUAAGUAUUUAAUAUGUUUCCUAUACUAACGAUCUCCUAAAGUUUUGUUGAGUUUUGUGUGACUGAAGUUUUCAAGUUUUGGGUGUUAUCGCGAUGGACAAUGGAAUAAGGAGCAGGAAGAGCCUAAGCUUUGGGAUUCCCAAGGAAACCCAAGGUAAUAUUCUAGGAAGACUCAAGCCUCUAAGCUUGGGGAUCCCCCAAAAGGCAUCCCCUCUUUCGUCUCAAUCCAUGAGUAUGUCACUUGAAGCUACAUUUUUAGUCAUCACAUGAUAUGAGUUUUGCUUGGAGCGUCGUUUGAUUUAGUUUGCUUUUUAUUUUUGUUUUACACAAUCAUAUUUUGUUGGAACACCAACCUAAGAGAGACACAUAUUUUUCAUGAUUUUUUAGAAUACUCUUUGUGCUUCACUUAUAUCUUUUGAGCUAAAGAGUUUCUCUAGUACUUCACUUAUAUCUUUUUGAGCACGGUGGCGUGUAGAUUUUAUAGAAAUAUUUGAAGCAUCGUUCUUCACUUAUAUUUGUUUGGGAGUUAAUAAACAGUAGCGGUAAUUUUCAUGGGUCAUAAAGCUGGUCCAAGAAUAAUAAGUAUUGAAUGAAUGAAUCAAAACCAUCAUGUAGCACAUGAAGAGAAAUUGUGGGUUAAUGAUAUUGAUGUGGUAAUAUGAAAAAGGUGUGAGUGCAUCAUUGUUGAUUCGUAGAAUUAGCGGUGGUAAGAGGUGCUAAUUCCUUGUUUCUAUGAAUAUUAAAAAGUAAUGGCGGGGAUAUGUGAGCACUUCUAUUCCUCGUUGAAAUCCUAGUGUUGUUUCGAGUUGGAGUCCGCGAUGGUUAACUCCUCCCAACCCUCUCCCUCGUGGCAUGCAGGUAGUUCUUUGAUUUGUGAUGAAACUAAUAAAACUUUGCAAUAAGUGUAUGAUUUCUUCAUGACUAAUGUGAAAACAUGGACAUACGCAAUCUCACCUCCUCAUAUUUUGCUAUCCUCUUUGGUACCGUGCACUGCCCAUUCUCACCUCGAGGAUCGGUGCGAACUUCGUCUGUGCAUCCAAACCCCGUGGCAUGAUAUGUUCUAUCACACAUAAACCUUUCUUUAUCUUCCUAAAAACAGCCACCAUACCUACCUAUCAUGGCAUUUACAUAGCCAUUCCGACAUAUAUUGACAUGCAAAGUCCACUGUUACAUCAUAUGACUAGUUCAUUUAUCAUCAUAUUGAUUUGCAUGAGCAUAUAAAGCUGACAUAGCAUUUGUGGCAAAGCCACCAUUCAUUAUAUUGAUGAUACAUGUCAUGCUAGAUCAUUGCACAUCUUGGUACACUGCCAGAGGCAUUCACAUUGAGUCAUAGUUCUUCAUAUCGAGCUUUCAUGAGUUGUAAGUAAAUAAAAGUGUGGUUAUCAUCAUUAUUACAGAAUUGACCGAGUGAGGAAAGUAUGAUGGAGACUAUGAUUCCCCCACAAGUAUGGAAGAGACUCCAGACAAAAAAUAAAAAUGUGGGAGGCAAAAUGAUCCCACCAAAAAUAUGAAUAAGAGAAAAGUAAAGAAGGGACUUUGCUACUAUCCUUUACCAUAGUUGUGCCUCAAAGUGCCACCAUGUUCCUCAUAUAGAAAGUCUCAUGAUAUGUUAUUUUCACAUGAUAGUGGGAGCCAUAUUAUCAUUAUUAUAAACUUGGCUUGCAUAUUCCGACGACGAUCUUCCUCAAAUGCUCGAGGUCUUCAUGAGCUAGCAAGUUUGAUGCACACCCGACAUAGCUUCAUUUGAGCUUUCAUACACUUAUAGCUCUAGUGCAUCAUUUGCAUGUUAAUCCCUACUCCUCACAUUGACAUCCACUGAUGGGCAUAUCCAUAGCCCGUUGGUACGCCUAGUUGAUGUGAGCCUAUCUUCUCCACUUUUACCCAUUUGAUACCUACCACCAUAUUCUAUUCCAUCUUAUGCUAUGUACAUGGCUCACGCUCAUGUAUUGCGUGAAGAAUAAAAAUUUGAUUCACUUUGAAAAAGUAUGAUCCAAUUGCCUGACUAGGACACCGUGGUGUGUAACAUUUGUAUUAUUGUGGUGAACAUGGAGCUAUGCUUUGCUAAUAUCAAAUAUUAAUGGGUAAACAUUCUUUUAGAAUCGUACACUUUGAAAAACUGAUGAUUUUGUUGCUUGUGCUUAUAAUUAUUAGUAUGUUGAUUUUUGUUGAUUCAUCUUUUCCCAAUGAGCAUACAUGCAAAAUAUUACAUAUUGGAUAGCAUGUCACAUCAAAAAUUCUGUUUUUAUCAUUUACCCACUCGAGGAUGAGCAGGAAUUAAGCUUGCCGAUGCUGGAUAUGUCUGCAAUGUAUCUAUAAAUUUUUUAUUGUUCCAUGUUGUUUUAUUAUCAUCCUAGGAUACUUUUUGGGUCAUAAUUCACCAAUUUAUAUUAUAUUUGACCACUGACAUAUUAUCCCAGUGCCAAGUGCUAGUUGCUAUUUUCUACGUGUUUUUGUUUUCCAGCUUUUCAGUAUCAAACGAAGUCCAAUUGCCACAAAACUUUUUUAUGAUUUUUUAUGGACCAAAAGAAGACUUGGAAGCUUCACGAGGAAACAUGAGGCCACACGUGGGGCUCCCGAGGCAAUAAGGCGCGACCAGGGGGUGGUCACACCCUAAUGCCUUGGCGCGCCCCUAUGGCCCCACUUUCCUCGUUCUCUGAACUAUAAAUUCCCAAAUACUCUAGAAACCCUAUAGAUCACACGCAAAUACUUUUUACACCACCGCAAGUCUGUGUUCCACGGCGACCCCAUUUGGAGCUCUGUUCCGGCACCCUGUCAGAGGGGGAUCGAUCAUGGAGGGACUCUUCAUCAACCUUGGUGCCCUGAUGAUGAUGUGUGAGUAGUUCACCAUUGACCUACGGGUCCGUAGUUAGUAUCUAGAUGGCUAUCUCUCUCUCUUGAUCUUCAAUGCAAUGAUCAUCACAUCUUCGCUUUGAUCUAUCCAAUGUAAUUAUUUUGUAUGGUGUGUUUGUUGGGAUCCGAUGAAUUGUGGGUUUAUCUUCAGAUUAUUCAUGAAAAAUAUUUGAGUCUUCUGUUAGUUUUAUGAUUCUUAUUUGCAUGAUCAUCAUAGCUUCUUAAUUCUCUCCGAUCUAUUGAAUUGCUUUUGCCAAGUAGUUUGGUAUUUCUUCAGUGAGAGGGGUGCAUUCUAGUAAGUUCGACCUAGCGAGUUUCUAUAUCCAACUGACAGAAGGGGACACAUUGCGUAUCUAUGUUGCUGCCACUAACGAUAAAACAAUGUGGUUUAUUCAUAUUGGUUCUCAAAGAAUUACAUUGUUUUACUAUUACUCCACCCAUGGACCGCUAUCCAACAUGCAUCUAGAGUAUAAAGUAAAACAUAGUAAUGCUUGGAGAAUGAUGACAUGAUGUAGGAAAAGUAAACUCAACCGAAUAAACCCCAUCAUUUCAUCCUUAGUGGUAGCAACACAAAGACGCAACUUGUCACCUUCUAUCACUGAGAUAUAGAAACUCGCCAGGUUGAACCCACUACAACGCACCCACUUAGUUAAGAAAUACCAAAGUACUUGUCCAAAGCAUUUCAAUAGAUCAGAGAAUUACGAAGCUAUUAUGAUCAUGCAAAUAAGAAUCAUCAAACUCAGAGAAGACUCAAAUAUUUUUCAUGAAUAAUCUGAACAUAAACCCACAAUUCAUCGGAUCCCAACAAACAUACCGUACAAAAGCAUUAUAUUGGAUAGAUCAAAGCCAAGAUGCGAUGAUCAUUGUAUUGAAGAUCGAGAGAGAGAGAGAGAUAGAGAUAACAGUCUAGAUACUAACUAUGGCCCCGUGGGUCAGUUGUGAACUACUCACACAUCAUCACAAGGGCAGCAAGGUUGAUGAAGAGGCCCUCCACGGUCGAUCCCCCCGUGAGGUAGUCCGGGACUAAGGGGUCCUCGGGACGCUUAUCUAUUCUCGUGGGCCGGACUCCUCGGCCGGUCAAUCAUCAUUGGUGGUACUAGAAUCGAGAUGGACUCUUCCAAAGACUUGGUGUACAAUCCAAGGCGACGUAGUAAUCGACAUGUUCCUUUCUUGAUGUAACCGACUUUGUGUAACCCUAGCAUCCCUGGUAUGUAUAUAAACCAGGGGCAUAGUUCGUAGGACACAUUAAGCUCAUUACGAUUAGGCCACAAGAGUCGAUCUCGAGGUAGAUCAACUAUGUACUCUAUACUACGCCAUCAAUACAAAAAGAACAGGACAUAGGUUUUACCUCUAUCAAGAGGGCCCAAACCUGGGUAAACAUUGUCUCCUUUGUCCCUUGUUACCCAUCAACCCAAGAUCCACAGCUCAGAAUCCCUACUCGAGAUCGGCCGGUUUUGACACCGACAUGGUGCUUUCAUUGAGAGUUCCGUUGAAGGAUCGUGAGAAGGAUCGAUGGACUGCUUGGUCAGUAGCAAAAACAUCAAGGCAGGGAUAUCUUCAUCUCCAACCAACCCCCUGCUACUGGCAGUACUACCUCGCACGUCAAGGCGGUUAAUCACCAGAUCAAUGGUUCAUCCCGGGCCAGGGAUUCAAGUUCAGUGACUUAGAGUAUGUCGCAGAGGCCCAAGAUGAUCUGAUCCUCUCUGAGAUCUCGACUUUUGCCGAAUAGGUUGGAAACUUAGAAGCCUUAAUUCAGGGCCUCUACCCAACCUCGAGUCUGGGAUAGUGUUUACUCGCGAUCCACCCUUGGUCCUAGACCCGACCGUUGUGUUAGAAGGCUCGAGGGUAACCUCGCCCGAACACACCUCUUAUGCUGACGCAUCGGAGGUCAACUCCGCUAGAGCUCUGAGGACUAGUCUCGCAAAUCUCCAAGUGUCAAACAAGAUGCUGAUUGGAACCCAAGACAUGGAUAGUUCGGAUGGCUCGGUCCCGAUCCAUGAUCCUUCCGGCUCUGAGUCUAGGUGCGGGAACUUUAUUCCCCACCCACCACCCACUUCAUAGCCACUAUCGGAGAUCUAACCAAUCUGUUAGACUUCUCCUUAGAGGAAGCCAAAGAUUUUGUCACGGCUAUCAGAUCACCUAGUCCUCCGUAACGGGACGAUGGACUACCACCUCCACAUGCGACACCUACAUGGUGGACACCCCUAAGGACGAUGGCGCCAUGGGGACAAGCGAAGAUGAAACCCAGGUCAAAAAUAAUGGCGACGAACCUGUCAGGCGCCAUUGACAGCGCAAAAAGUCUUAAGCUCAUAAGGGCAAGGAAAACAAUGAGGGAAAGGCGAUAGCCCACCCCUAAGAAUACGGAAAAUCCCGCUGAAUCCCUAGAACCUACGGACCCCGAAUACAACCCGACCUACCGGGUUACAUGGAUCUAGACAAGCCUGAGGAUCUCGACGAUUUUGAAGACAGCAACUACACGCCUUUGAUCGAGGAGGAGGACAGCUUGGGAGACGAGGAUUUUAUCAUCCCCGAAGACCCACUGGAUAAAGAAGUAUUCAGGCGACAACUCAUAGCCACUGCUCGGAUUUAAGCUAAAGAAGAUGCAACUUAAAGCCGAACAUGACUCCAUCACUGAAAGAUGGACGAAAGUCCUGGCCGCCGAAGAGGGGUAUGGCCAAGAAUGGUAGGGACAAACUAAAAGCUACCCGCUCACCGUUUGUUGCCAGAAUUCAAAGACGAGGCCUUGGAGCCCGCACCACCCAUAUUUGCAAGAUGACCAACCAGACCUCCCUCCUCGAGGAUGGGACUAGAGAAGGGAGUCGGCUCAACCUGGAGACCCAUUUGACCUGCGACACAACAUUAAGUCUAGAAUAGGACAAACAAGAUCCAUUUACGGAUCUAGGAGUCACACUCUCGCUAAACAGGACAAGUACGAAGCUUGGUCCAAUCAGAACGAUGGAGUUCGGCAACAGCAGCGCGGUAGGAUCUCGUGUAAUCUCCAGCAUGAUACAACUCAGAUAAGGAGCGUUGCCCACCCAAUGUGCUUCACAGAUGAGGUGAUGCGGCAUUAGUUCCCUGAAGGUUUUUAACCCGUAAAUAUCAAGCGGUACGAUGGGACAAGAGACCCGACCGCAUAGAUUGAAGAUUUCUUUCUCCACAUUCACAUGGCUCGUGGAGAUGACCUCUACGCCAUCAUAUACCUACGAUUAAAGCUCAAAGGGCCAACAAGGCACUGGUUGAACAACCUCCCUGAUAACUCCAUUGGGAUUUGGGAGGAUCUCGAAGAUGCCUUUAGAGACAACUUUUAAGGCACUUAUGUACGACCACUUGGGUCCGAUGACUUGAGGCACAUAAUUCAACAACCCGAUGAGUCAUAUCAGCACUUCUCGAAUAGAUUCCUCACCAUGAAAAAUCAGAUUGUUGAUUGUUCGGACGCCGAGGCAUUAGCUUCUUUCCGUAGCAACAUACGAGACAAACGGCUAGCCCAGACGCUUAGACAGGAGAGGCCAAGGACAAUGGCCGCCCUUACCUCUCUCAUGACCGGCCAUUGCGUGGGUGAGGAUACUUGGCUAGCCCAUUGGGACAACCAUCCCCCAAACCCUGGCACCUCCACAAUCCGAGAUGGCAACGGAAAGUCACGACGCAAUAAGAACAAGCAUUGACACAACAGUGGUGUAGCCGAUGACACGACAGUUAAUGUCGGAUUUAGCAACCCCAAGCCCGGACCCAGGAAGAAACCUUCUAAAGGAAAUUGGGAUGAUCCGACUGCGCUGAAAAAAUAAUUGAGAGGCCCUGUCAGAUACAUGGCACCCAAAACAAACCCGCUACUCACACCAACCGUAACUGUUGGGUAAUCAAGGUGGCGAGCAAGAGCAUGGCCGAUGACCAGACCAAAAGCCCCCGUAGCAAGGAUGACGAGGAACCUCGUUGCCCGAGCAAAGGGGCCAAAAGCAGUUUCCCCUUGAAGUAAAGACCGUGAGCAUGAUCUAUGUCACUCACUUACCGGAAAAGGAGAGGAAGCGGGCACUUGGGGACGUAUACGCCAUAGAUCCAGUAGCCCUGAAGUACAACCUGUUACAGUAUAUGUGGAUUACAUUAGCCCUUUCCAUCAGUUCAUACUUUUGGUUGUGUUUGCUAGUGCAUGAAGCUUAACAUGGUAUCAAAGCUAAGGUCUUGAGUUCAAGUCCUGGCUUUCGCAAUUUAUCAAAAAUUGCUGGUAGCCCCCCUUUGUGUCCACGUAAAGGCCUCUUGAGUCAUACAUGAGUUUCGCGCGUCGUCGCUCUUUUCCGGUUGCACGUGUUGAAUUAUCUUCCCCGUCACACGUGAGAGGGGGUGUUACAGUAUAUGUGGAUUACAUUAGCCCUUUCCAUCAAUUCAUACUUUUGGUUGCGUUGGCUAGUGCAUGAAGCAUAACACAACCGAUGGUCGGAGUAUCACAUCACUUAUGACCGCACAGACCACCCAACUAGUAUUCGACACGGGGGUUCAGCGGCCUUGGUACUCGAACCCAUCGUUAUGGGUAUCAUCUCACGCGAGUCCUCAUGGAUGGAGGCAACAGCCUCAAUCGAAUUUAUGAGGGCACUGUGAGAAAAAUGGGCAUUAAUCCAUCAAGAAUCAGACCCACCAAAACCACCUUGAAAGGAGUAAUUCCUGGCGUCAAGGCUCGCUGCUCGGGCACCAUAACUCUAGAAUAGUGUUCGGUUAACCCGACAACUUUCAUAGCGAAAACUUGAUCUUCGACAUUGUUCCCUUCCGUGAUGGGUACCAUGCACUCCUCUACCAUACAUCGUUCGCUUGCUUUAAUGUCGUUCCCCAUUAUGCAUACCUCAAGUUGAAGAUGCCAGGACCUAAGGGUGUCAUUACCGUCAAUGGUAACACCGAGCGAUCCCUUCUAACUGAGUAACACACUUUGGCUUUGGUAUCCAAAGUGCAGGUUGGAGACGCGGCUCUAAAGUCAUAGCUAACCGUCUAGGAGCACAAACAAGCUCACGCCCCACUGCAGUUCCCUAUAACUACACAUACUCAAACCAAAUAGGGAUACGCUCCCCAUAGCAGCACUUCACUCCAACAAAAUACGUGCCUCGAAGGCAAAAUUUCGCUCUUAAGUUACCAUGCAUGGGAAGCUGUAGGGAUUGACCAUAUAAGACCUAGUCUUUGGCUAAACCGAACUAUGGUCAGUAUCGUCUUCAGACACAUACAUGUAUAGUAAAGGACCAAUUAUGUGUCAAGCAAGCUCACACAUAGGCGGCUUCUCAAGACCAACUUUGUUUAAGAACCACUCACUGGCGUCCUCCCCCUUUCAAGGAAUAUUUCCCAAAGAGUGAAGGUGCAGACGUGCAGCAGGGCAUUAUAAGGAACAUCAAGCCAGCUAUACCAUGUGUAAAACUCUACUCUGUAAACUUCUUAUAUAUGUAUACACACACACACACACACAUAUAUAUAUAUAUAUAUNNNNNNNNNNNNNNNNNNNNNNNNNNNNNNNNNNNNNNNNNNNNNNNNNNNNNNNNNNNNNNNNNNNNNNNNNNNNNNNNNNNNNNNNNNNNNNNNNNNNACCCUAUAUUAAUAUUUUGAUUUAUUUCCUUUUUAUUCGCUUUUAUUUUCUGAUUCGGAAAAAGUUAGAAAUUAGGAAGGUAUUUUUUUCUUUAGAAACCGCCGCCGAGCGCUUUUUAGGCCAUUGGGCCGAAUCCCACUGUCCCGGGAUCUGAAUCCCUUAAACUCGGCCGAACGCCCCCACUCUUCCCCUCCUCUCUCUCAUUGCCCGAUGGGCCCCGCGACCGAGCCUUCCCUCCCGUCGGUCAUCCCUCUCCCUCUCCUUCCUUACUCCAUGCCCGAGACCGAGCUGAGCACGGGAUUCCUCCCCGAUUCUCUCCCCUCCUUCCUUAUCUCUCCCCUCCCCGGGCCUAUAAAUACCCCCGUCCCCGCCGCAGCCCUGUUCCCACCCUCGCCACCACCCCGCCCCGUCCCCUCGCCGCCCGAGCCCACCUCGCCGGAGCAGCACGGCUCUGCACCUUCGGCCCCUGGAGCAGCGCCCGACGCCUCCCCGAGGAGGAGGACCACCCCCGCCGCCGCCUCCCCGUCUCUCCACCGCCCCCGGAGCUCCCCCCGAUCCGGCGACCCUCUUCCCCGCCGUAGCAACCCCUCCCAGCCACGGUAGCUUCCCCCCUCUCUAUUGUUUUCUUUUGUUUUUCUUUUUAGCCCUUAGAUCUUAGAUGUAGGGUAUAGAUUAGAUCCUAUAGUACCCCUUCGGUUUAGAGUAGAAAACCGGCGGUUUUUAGUUCACUUAUGUUUUAGCCAGCAGUUUUUAUUAGCCUCGGCCGUUUGCUCAAAACGUUGCAACAAACACACCCCUCGGCCUAUAGUAGCAUGCCACGUGUACCCCCGCUGUUAGAUACUAUUUAACUUCAGUUUUUCUGUCUAAAUUGCAAAAACAGAAAGUUUCUGUUUUGUUUUGGCCACAACUUUUGAUCCCGAAGUCCAAUGACAUUGAUUCUUGUUCCAGUAGACUCCAAUGUUUCUAUAGUUUUUAAAAACAUAUAAUUUGUCUCUGUUUGAAAUUUUUAAAUAAAAGUUAGAUCAGAUUUAGUUUAAACCUUGUUUUGCCUAUUCCAGGAGUUUAAAAAAUGAUUUUGAGUUGAUUCUUUUUGCUACUGCUUCCUAGUGAUAAAAUCUUACUGUGGUAGAAGUUUCAAAAAUUUUAAAGUAUUUUUACUGGUGUUUUCAACAGAAACAAGUUUCUGCCAUACCGGCGCGUGAUGAAUCCUUUACUUAGGCAUUUGCAAAUACUUACUUGCGAUGUUAUUUUUACUUGUUGCUUGAUUGAAGUGCUUAUGGUGUGCUUUGUGUUUGUAUCGGUAGAUCAUCCAGAGUGCGAAGCGUGUUACUUAGAAGCGCUCGAGCAAGACAACUAUCAUCAAGGCAAGUCAUUUUGAUCAUGUUAUUUUACCUAUGUUUUCGAUGCAUGGUAGAUCACCUUUCUUUGCCCAAUUGCAUGCUGCCUAGCUACUUGGAAACUUUAGUAUAAGUUGUAGUAUCAUGUGGUAGGAACACAACAACCCCGAUACUUGGCCCCGGGACGACAAUUUCUUAAUGUUAUGCUUGAGUAGACGGGUUCUCGGUUGAGUGUAUAUCACGAGUGAUGCGAGGUUGAUUAAAUAAUCAAGACCGGAUAAGACAAGAUUUUCAAUACCUCGGACGCAAUGCAACUCUGGGUGAAGGACGGUUGAUCAGCUCCCUAGAGAACCCAGUGGAUGCCCGGGAUGCUGGAGAGGCCAUGUCACCCUGCGGAAAGCUUCACCCAGGCUCGAAGAGACGGACGGAGACUUCAAGACUCAAGGCUUACCUGCAUAGCCACAAGUCAUUAUGGGCUCUGGCUUGGUUGGACAACACGGCGACUCUGGACAGGCGGUGCUAGCAGAUGUAGAAGAACGGUAGGAAUGGAUGGGCACCGACAGGGAUUCAGAGGGACCCGUUGAAAGACCAUGUUUUGAUCAUCCGGUCUUCAAACACCCUGAAGUGCGAGGACAAACCCGGAGGCGAUCAAAUCUUGUGGGGAACGUGUGCAGAACUCUGUAGAGUACCCAACCUAAUCGAUUAGCCGUGUCCACGGUCAUGGACAACUUGAGCCGAAGGCAUUGAAUUUCCCCUGAACUCUCGACACAACUUAAUAAUGAUGUGGGUGUUAACAACUAUUCGGGUAUGAGAAUUGGUUGGCGGAACCAUCUCGUUAACAACAAACAUUGUAGUAAUAUUUUGCUUUCAACCCCUCUUGUUGUAGGAUAAAACUGGCUUUAUGCAAAACUUAACUCCACCGGCCAAAUAUGCAUGUAGAGAUAGUUGAUUAUUAUUUUACUCCUCCCUUUGAUGACUUGUCGGCAUAUUCAAUAUGCUGACCUACACGGCUGCAACGUAUCAUGUUGCAGAGUACUUUUCCAACCAGGAGUGAGGCUACGAUCUACGCUCAGCGACAUGCCCUUGGAGUCGGAUGGAUUCGUCUACCUGAUGCUUCCGCUUAGUCUUCGUUAGAUAUCUCAUGAGUUGGCCUUCAGCCACUUUAUUGUAAUCCUUUAUUGUAAUAAAGUACUCUUUAUGAGAUUUCGAUUAAUAAAGUUGUGUGAUUGAACUCUUGAAUAUAUACAUUAUGUACUGUGUGUGUACCAGCAUGAUCUUGGGAUGGUACGGAAACACCAGAGGCUUGACUCGUUUUAAGUCGGGUCGCUACAACGGGCAGCUGGAAUUCUGGACUAGAAAAGGAGCAAACCUAAGAGACCUAUUCUACACAGCUCCAAAAGUCCUGGAAAGUUACGGAGAAUUGUUUUGUAAUAUAUAAAAAAUAAUGAGCGAAAGAAGUACCGGAGGGGACCCACCAGGUGGCCACAAGCCUGGGGGGCGCGACCUACCCCGUAGCCUCACCCUCCAGGCUUGUGGGCCCCCUGGCAGGUCUCCGGCACCCAUCUUCUCCUAUAUGAAGGGUUUUGACCUAGAAAAAAUCAUAUCAGACCUUUCGGGACGCGACAUCGCCGUCUCGAGGCGGAACUUUGACAGAACCAAUCUAGAGCUCCGGCGGAGCUAUUCCACUGGAGAAACUUCACUCCCGGAGGGGGAAAUCCAAGCCAUCAUCGUCACCAAUGAUCCUCUCAUCGAGAGGGGGUCAAUAUCCAUAAACAUAUUCAUCAGCACCAUCUCCUCUCCAAACCCUAGUUCAUCUCUUGUAUUUGAUCUUUGUCUCAAAACCUCAGAUUGGUACGUGAGGACAUGGGAUACGUCUUGUUAUAAGUAAUCAUGUGAAUAUGGUAUUCGUUCAAUAUUUUGAUAAGUUAUAUGUUGUCUCUCCUCUAGUGGUGUCAUGUGAAUGUCGACUACAUGACACAUCACCCUUAUUUGGGCCUAGUGGAAGGCAUUGGGAAGUAAUAAGUAGAUGAUGGGCUGCUAGAGUGAUAGAAGCUUAAACCCUAGUUUAUGAUUUGCUUCAUAAGGGGCUGAUUUGGAUCCAUAUAUUUAAUACUAUGGUUAAAUUUACCUUAAUUCAUAUUUCGUAGUUGCAGAUGCUUGCGAGAGAGGUUAAUCAUAAGUGGGAGGUUUGUCCAAGUAAGGGCAGCACCCAAGCGCCGGUCCACCCGCAUAUCAAAUUAUCAAAGUAACGAACGCGAAUCAUAUGAGCAUGAUGAAAAGUAGCUUGACAUAAAUUCCCAUGUAUCCUCGGGAGCGCUUUUCUUUAUAUACAGUAUAUUUUCGGCAGACAAAGAUUUGCAUUGCUUAGUCGAGUGUAGCAUUUUCCAGACAUGAUUGCAGAUCUCUCAAAGAGUGUGGCGGAUGCUUUGAACUACUAUGCAUCGCAUGAGUGCGAGGUCUAGCAAAGGCUCUUCUGGGCACAAUUUCAAGCCCCUGAGCAACCUCUUCUUGUCUUCUAUGAGUUGAAACAACUGAUGGAGAUGCACAAGAUGACAAAGCCGGCAAUGAAGGAUCUUUGCGUCAUGCUUUGGCCAACAUAGCCGCUUCUUAGCAGCUAAUUUGGCUUAGUGCAAAAGUUGAUUGUUGUUGCGCCAUAGAUCGAUAUUGUGAAGCGCUCUAUCUGCACCGAGGGAGCUCGUAUGGCCUUUGCAAAAACCAUGAUGCAUUGGUCGAAGGUGGAGCCCUUCAAGAUGGUCGCCGCACCUCAAGUGCGUGGAAAGGAUCAUAGACGCUCGGAGUUGUACUUCUCCACUGCUAUGGAAGGUGCUCGGGUUGUAGAGGCACAGUGCUCCAAAGACUUAAUCUUUGAAUGAAAACCUCAUCCUGCAUAAGUGCUUGUAUGAUACAAUGUCGUUUUACUUUUGCAUGGUAUACCAUAUAUUUUUUAAUUACAACUCCUGUGUGGAUGUUUUAAUAUUGAAAGUUUCCAGUCGUCGGCUUCAGCCACCUGACAGAUACUAGCAAAGGUGUUUUCAGCCUCUGCAUUGAUACCCUUGGCCAACGUCUUAGUGCCCUAAGGCAUUAAUGCAGGAGAAAACUAGACGAUCGGACUAUGUGGCUUUAAGUCUUUCACUUAAACAUAGGAGCUUCACUGCGGGGGCCAAUUGGAACCCCCUUGCAAAGCGUGAUGUUCAAAUAUAGCGUGGUGUAAAACCCUACUAUCACUUGGUUUGAAAGGUGUCAAACAUUUCGCAUAACACGAUGAACCCCCAGCGGUUCUUUAGUUUAAUACUUGUCUUCAGAUCGCAGACUAGUUCUCGAUUAUUAUGACAGUUAGUUUUCGGCUUUCUCCACUGAGGUACUUAACUAGACUAACUGGAAGUAAAAUCAUAGUGGUUCUCCCUUUACACUUUUAGCCGAACAGGCAGAACAUAAAGGGGUAUGCACAGGAGCGGGCCAACCCAACUUUUGACCCAACACAUAAUUUGAAACCGAUGCAUAACGUGAAUCCAAGACUCUGCACAUAUGAAUGCUAAAUAGUAUUGUAAUGGUUCUAUGGGCAGUCAUGACGACCAAGCCCCCUGUCCAUUUAACUAGUAUCCAACAUGUGCAUAAAAAUAGGCUUGCGUUGCUGUUCAAGAAAAUAGUUCGAAAAAAGGAGGAGGCAAAAAGAAUUGCUAAGCUCAUGAACCACAAAGAGUGUUUCCUUAUUUCCGAUGAACUUGUAUCCGUACAAUUCGAAUUUAGCAAGUGAAUGUUUAUAUAUUUAUAUAUAUAUAUAUAUANNNNNNNNNNNNNNNNNNNNNNNNNNNNNNNNNNNNNNNNNNNNNNNNNNNNNNNNNNNNNNNNNNNNNNNNNNNNNNNNNNNNNNNNNNNNNNNNNNNNUUUUGGGCUCCAGAGAGGGGAAAUCGUCGCCAUCGUCAUCAUCAACCUUCUUCCCUCUCCAAUUCCAUGAAGCUCUUUAUCGUUCUUGAGUAAUCUAUUCGUAGGCCCGCUGGGCGGUGAUGAGGAGGAUGAGAUCUAUCAUGUAAUCGAGUUAGCUUUGACGGGGAUUGAUCCCUAGUAUCCACUAUGUUCUGAGAUUGAUGUUGCUACUACUUUGCCAUGCUUAACGCUUGUCACUAGGGCCCGAGUGCCAUGAUUUCAGAUCUGAAAUUAUUAUGUUGUCACCAAUAUAUGUGUGUUUUAGAUCUGAUCUUGCAAGUUGUAGUUACCUACUAUGUGUUAUGACCCGGCAACCCCGGAGUGACAAUAACCGGAACCACUCCCGGUGAUGACCAUAGUUUGAGGAGUUCAUGUGUUCACCAAGUGCUAAUGCAUUGUUCUGGUUCUUUAUUAAAAGGAGAACCUUAAUAUCCCAUAGUAUCCUUUUGGACCCCGCUGCCACGGGAGGGAUGGACAAUAGAUGUCAUCCAAGUUCUUUUCCCUAAGCACGUAUGACUACACACGGAAUGCAUGCCUACAUCACAUUGACGAAUAGGAGCUAGCCACAUAUCUGUCUGUGUUAUAACUGUUGCAUGAUGAAUAUCAUCCAAACGAAUCACCGACCCAUUGCCUACGAGUUUGUACCACUGCUACUGUCACUUGUUUUACUCUGCUGUUGUUACUUGUUUUGCUCUACUGUGAUUAAUACUACUGUUGAUUGCUACUGCUGCUACUUGCUACUGUUGCCACUUGCUACCGCUGUCACUACUGUUGUUCCUUGCCACUGUUGUUUCUCGUUACACUGCUGCUACCCGCUACAAUACUUUUUUGCUCGACGUUGACGGGAAAAGACUAUUUCCGUCUACGGGCAACUUCUGGCGCCAUUGAUACAAUAGUUACGAAUAGUCUGUCAUCAACAGAUCCUUUCUAGCACCGAUGUUAUCAUACUACUUUGUUGCUGAUACUUUGCUUGCAGAUACUAAUCUUUCAGGUGUGGUUGAAUCUGACACAUUCAGCUGCUAAUACUCGAGAGUAUCCUCUCACUUCCUGCCCGGCGAACCAACAAAUUUGGGUUGAAUACUCUACCCUUGAAAACUGCCGCGAACCCACGCGCUGGUGGGCCAUUGCAAGGCAAUUGCUAAUUGUUGAGCAACUGGGAGCAGUUCUGGCUCUGUUGUUGCGAAGGCAUCAAGUCAGGGACACGUCAACAACAUUCUUCUAGUGUCAUUGCCGGGGGAAGGAUUGCUAUAUUCUCUGAGUCACUUGGGAUUUAUAUCUGCUAAUCACUAUGAAGAAUCUGAAAGAUCCAAGAACCAAAGUCUUGCCCUCAACUACGAGGGGAGGUAAGGAACUGCCAUCUAGCUCUGCACUUGAUUCACCUUUAGUUAUGAGUAAGUUUGCGACACCACCUCCUGCUAGAAAUCUUGAUGUGUCGCGUGUGCCAGAUGAUGCUAGAGAUGCUACUGCUAUUGAUGAUGCUUAUGAUGCUACUAUGCCUGAUACUGCUAGAGAUGCUAUGCCUGAUACUGCUAAAGAUGAUAUGCAUGAUGAUGCUACAGAUGCUAUUUUUCCUGAUGAUGUUAUGCUUGAUACUGCUAGAGAUACUACUUUGCCUGAUGUGCCACUAUGGGUAUUCCUUGAUGCUCAUAUUGCUAGAGUCACUGCCAAUGCUCGCAAUGCUUCUGAAACUGCCGAUACUAUUGAGAUAGAACCUGCUUUUGCUCCUGCUAGAUCUAGCUCUCCUAGAUAUGAAUUGCCUGAUAUACCUGAGGGUUAAGUUAUGGAGGGAGAGAUAGCUGAGGAUUUUAUUGCGUGUAAGGAUGCCUAUGACGUUGAGAAAUUACUUCUCAAGUGGAAGGAAAAAUAUCUGAAAGCUAGGAUGAAAUACGAACCGAAGUUUGCCACUUCACCUAUCUUUAUCACCGAUAAGGAUUAUGAAUUCUCUGUCGAUCCUGAGAUAAUCUCUCUAGUCGAAUCUGAUCCUUUCCACGGUUAUGAGUCUGAGACGGUCGUAGCCCAUCUUACCAAACUACACGAUAUAGCCACCCUUUUCACGAGUGAGGAGAAGAUCCGCCACUACUAUAUCCUUAAGAUGUUUCCAUUCUCUCUAAAGGAUGACGCUAAAACCUGGUUCACUUCUCUUGCUCCUGGAUGUGUGAGUAGUCCCCAGGAUAUGGUCUAUUACUNNNNNNNNNNNNNNNNNNNNNNNNNNNNNNNNNNNNNNNNNNNNNNNNNNNNNNNNNNNNNNNNNNNNNNNNNNNNNNNNNNNNNNNNNNNNNNNNNNNNUGUUGUUUGGCAACAAAGUUGUCAAAUUCAUCAAAGCAUAGGCUAGCAGGUUUAUCAAAAGGAAUAUCACUCUCAUCAAACCUACGCAGAGAAUUUACUUCUACUACCUGUAUCGGGUUAUCGAGACCAUGGAUCUCUUUGAUAGGUGGCAGAUUUUUGACAUCUUCGGAUCUAAUGCCUUUCUCUUGCAUAUAUUUCUUGGCUUCUUGCAUAUCUUCGGGACUUAGGAAUAGAAUACCUCUUUUCUUCGGAGUUGGCUUAGGAGGUGGUUCGGGAAUAGUCAAAGCAUUAUCGUUGAUCAAGAUGUUAUUCACUAGAGUCUUGGCCUGUUCUACAGUUCGUUCCCUAAAAACACAACCAACACAACUAUGUAGGUGGUCUCUAGAAGCAUCGGUAAGUCCGUUAUACAAGAUAUCAAGUAUCUCGUUCUUCUUAAGAGCGUGAUCAGGCAAAGCAUUCUGUAGCUGGACGAGCCUCCCCCAAGCUUGUGGGAGACUCUCUUCUUUGAGUUGAGCAAAGUUGUAUAUUUCCUGCAAGGCAGCUUGCUUCUUAUGGGCAGGGAAAUAUUUCUCACAGAAGUAAUAGACCAUAUCCUNNNNNNNNNNNNNNNNNNNNNNNNNNNNNNNNNNNNNNNNNNNNNNNNNNNNNNNNNNNNNNNNNNNNNNNNNNNNNNNNNNNNNNNNNNNNNNNNNNNNGAGUUCGUCGUAAAGGGUUACGUUGAUGCAAGCUUUGACACUAAUCCGAAUAACUAUGAGUAGUGAAACGGAUUCAUAGAGUAGAUAUUUGGAGUAUUUUCGAAUAGCACAUAGGAGCAGCAUCUAUAAGAUGACAUAAAGAUUUGUAAAGAACACACGGAUCUGAAAGUUUCAGAACCGUUGACUAAAACCUCUCUCACGAGCAAGACGUGAUCAGACCCCAGAACUAUAUGGGUGUUGGAUUCGUCGAAAUCACAUGGUGAUGUGAACUAGAUUAUUGACUCUAGUGCAAGUGGGAGACUGUUGGAAAUAUGCCCUAGAGGCAAUAAUAAAUUAGUUAUUAUUAUAUUUCUUAGUUCAUGAUAAUUGUUUAUUAUCCAUGCUAUAAUUGUAUUGAUUGGAAACACAAUACUUGUGUGGAUACAUAGACAAAACACUGUCCCUAGUAAGCCUCUAGUUGACUAGCUCGUUGAUCAAAGAUGGUCAAGGUUUCCUGGCCAUAGGCAAGUGUUGUUACUUGUUAACGGGAUCACAUCAUUAGGAGAAUCAUGUGAUGGACUAGACCCAAACUAAUAGACGUAGCAUGUUGAUCGUGUCAUUUUGUUGCUACUAUUUUCUGCGUGUCAAGUAUUUGUUCCUAUGACCAUGAGAUCAUAUAACUCACUGACAGCGGAGGAAUGCUUUGUGUGUAUCAAACGUCGCAACGUAACUGGGUGACUAUAAAGAUGCUCUACAGGUAUCUUCAAAGGUGUUCGUUGAGUUAGUAUGGAUCGAGACUGGGAUUUGUCACUCCGUGUGACGGAGAGGUAUCUCGGGGCCCACUCGGUAAUACAACAUCACACACAAGCCUUGCAAGCAAUGUGACUAUGACCCCAUCAUUAGUCCCCGAAUGGAUUGGGGUUGAAACAACGAAGCGGUGCUUGAAGUUCGGAUCCGACUGGAUUAGAUUCGGCUUGGGCGUUGCUUGCCUCUAUCCAUUUUACCUUUUCUGACCAACGAUCCGAGUGGAAGUGCUUGCGGAACCGACUGUCGGGAGCCGAGUGUUUCCGCGGCAUCUUUUGACGCGACCGGUCAACUGACAGCGGUGGAUUUUCCGGGAUCUCAAAUUUCGGGUUCCGUGCGCUCAGCGGGGACGACGUCAGUGCACUCGAGUAGCGCCUGACGCCUCGAUUCUCGCGCCUUCAGGUCCUCCACUGAUAUCGCCGCGGCCGGUCGGGCGGAUAAGGUUUCGGGGCCACCCGCCAGUGACCUAGUCGGAACCCUAUUUAAAUCUGGGCGGCGAGGCUUCUUCGUUACGCUUGCCGAAUCUUUCGCUCUCGCCUGCUUCGUCUUCCUCGCCACCUCCAGCGCUCCAACACUCCCUCCUUCUCCUUCCUCUCGAGAGUUCGUCGUCGCCCCCAUGACCAAGGGUCAGACCAGCAAGAUGGAGGCGAGGAAGAGGAAGGGCAAGGCGGCGGCGCCUGCUCAGCGGCUGCAGCGGCCGCUGCCGGCGGGGUGGAUCCAAGGAGACUUCCUCCCCUCCACGGUGACGGAGGGAGAUCUGCUGCAGCUGGUGGAGCACGGAGUGCUCGUGCACAAGUCCUGGAGACUGCCGGCGGAGGACGAGGUCGAGCCAGCGCCCCGGGAGGGGGAGCGCGUCCUACGCCUCAGCCAUGUCCACCGAGGUUUUUCUUUGCCCCCGCAUCCUUUCUUCAAGGGCAUCUUGAAUCACUUCGGUGCCCAACUUCACCAUUUCCCUCCGAAUGCCAUCGCGCACCUUUCUGCCUUCAUAGUCUUAUGUGAGUGUUUUAUCGGCUGCCCUCCCCAUUGGGGUUUGUUCAAACACAUCUUCUCCGCCCGAUCCCAAACCAUCAAACGACUUAGCCAGUCGGAUGAUAAGACGCACCUCCUCCAGCUCUGUGGGGGUUUAGGAUUCCAGAAGAAGAGUCGGAGUACCUAUCCUGCUCUCCAGUUAAGUGAGUCGGUUAGGAACUGGCAGUCGACAUGGUUCUACUGCCAGGAUAUCGCCUGUCCGAAUGCGUCGACUGGUCUGCCUCCUUUUAGUCUAGACCGGCCCGCCCCGCCUAAGCAGCUCGCGCUCUCGAAGGCAGAGAAGAACGAUGUCCAGCCCUUGGUUGAGGCGCUCGUGGACGUCGUCAGGAGGGGGGUCACCGGUAUAGACCUGCUGGAAAUCUUCCUUGGUCGGCGGAUCCAGCCUCUGCAGGCUCGCGACCAUGCCAUUUGGCAUUACACGGGGCCCGAGGAUUCCACUCGGACUAAUGUUGUGGGCGUGACUGAGGAGAGGGUGACCUCGUGGGUGCUCCAAAUCAUGGGUCCCUGUGAGAAUCCCAAAGGAUCACGGCGAGUGAAGCCCUUCUGCGCGGAUAAUCCCCCGCCGAAUCAGGUGAGAGACUCUUGUCGAGUGCUCCUAAUUGUCUUAAUCUUGUCGUUUGCUUGAAUCUCUGUGUGAUGUUUGAUGUCGCCGACUGAAUUUUAUGCAGGAGUGGACCAACUGGUUUUCUCCCGUCUCGAACGGGAAUUCGGCCGAGGAGGAGGAGGGCAGCCAGGAGGGCAGCAUGGAGAGCGUUGAAUAUGUCUCCGACAGUGGGGAGUCGUAGGAAAAGUCCAGCGAGGAGGAGGACGAAGACGAGGAGCAGGACUCGCCACCUCCGCGACUGGAGCAUCGGACCAAGCGCCGACACGAGCCCGCUGUCCCCUCAGCUCCUCCCACGUCUUCGAGUGCUCCGCCUACUGCUCCAGUGGUCCCGAGUGUUCGAAGCGCUAAGAGGACCAGGGAUGCUGCCGCUGAUUCUGCGGGCCAAUCUUCUAAGGCGCCCAAGCCGAGUGGGCCUAAACCUCGGAAGGCUCUGCCGCGAAUGAGGGUCGCUGUCCCCGUCACCUCCACGUAAGUGUACUCAGCUUUCAGUUUUUUCUGAUAUCCGAGUGAACUUCUGUUUACUGGCCAACUGGAUCUCACUCGACAGGGUUGCUACUUCUGCCACCUCCCCGGCGCGUCAGGAAGACGACCCCAUGGACACGGACAACGUCGUCUCGUCUCAGCCAGGUGCGUUGUAGGAAUAUCGAGUGUUUUAUACCAUCGCUUCUUUCUUUUUCUGAGACCUCGUGUCAUUCGGCCUGUCAGGGGCGAUCUACCUGGAUGAGGGCGACUAGGGGAGAGCCGACCCAGCUGUGGAGCCUGUUCUUGAGGCUGCUCCUCCCGCUGCCGCUCUCGCCCCCGACAUGCUGCCGACAGAGGCACCGCCGCCGACUGAACCAGUGCUGGUGGAGGAGGAACCGACUGGGGCGGGCCUUGGGAUGCCUCAGGAACCUCCGACGAUUCCAGGUUCGUCGCAUGCUCAAUUCAGCAUCCAGCGUCUUCCGGAGGAGCUGGUGGGAGCGGCCAAGGGGGCUAUGGUGCAGGCGGAGCUGAUGACUAGAGAAGCCAAGAGGGCCUAUGACUCCAUUGCGGCCUUGUACCAGCGGAGCUUGGAGCUGCGCGAUGAUAUUCGAGUAAGUGGUCUAGUAAGUAUUUACUUUUCCCCUGUAACCCACUGAGUGUUAUUGAAUAUCAGCUGUUGUUUGCAAUGGGUUCACUCUGAGUGAACCCAGUGGGUGUAGUCCCCGAGACUUCUGUCGAGUGCUUGCAUCGACAGUUGUCUUUAUACACUUUGCCUUGAGUUUGGUUGUGUCUGUAAAUAGGAUUACUGAGUGCGAGUAAUUGUUGCAGUCGGAGUGCACUUACGGUAAGAGUCCCCGAGAGUAAGUUGUACUUAGGUCGGGUAGUAUUGGCCUCGGAGGCGUAGGUGAAAACAUGCAUUUCAAUAGGGCAGGCCUACUUGAGGUGCAUGCCAGUGGGGUCACUCUUAGUGAACCCACUGGGUGUAGUCCCCGAGACCGCUGUCGACUGCUUGCGUCGGCAGGGGUCUGAAGAACUUAGACUGUUAACUGUUCAACUUUCUGAUUGUCCCUUGUUUCUUGUUGGCAGAAAACAUGUGGAAUGGGGACGGCCUAUGAGGCUCUCAAGGCGGAGAGGAAUCAGUUCGCUGGUGAACUUGAUGCGGCCAUGCUUGCAAUGGUCAGCAUGAAGGAAGCUCUGGCGGAAUGGGAGAAGUCAUUGGAGCAGGCGCGUGAAGUGAACAAGGUGUUGACUGAGGAAGUGGAAAGGAUGGGGAAGCAGAGGACUGCGCUGAUGAGUCAGAUGGACGUGCUGAACAAACGAUGCAGAGCACAAGAGAAAUAUGUGAGCGACUCGGCUCGGCAGAUGAUGACGCGUCUGGCUGGUAAGUCCUUAUUUUUCCGAGUGGUUGUGCUAUGCGCGUAGCACUCGACGCUUAUUGUCUGUUUGUCCUAUUGUCGCAGAUUUUUGCUUUGACGCCGAAGUUGAAGCGGCUGACGUGGAGCGUUCGAUUCUUGAGAACGUUCCACUCGGCGACGACGCCAAUCGGGAUCUGCUCCGUGCGCACAUCCGCGUGGGCAAAGUUGGUCCUUUCAUCGGUCGACUGAGAGAAGUCGUCGGCCGAAUCGACAAGGAGCUUUGGCCAGAAGAUGAGUCGCGGCAGGAGAUGGAGAACCUGAUGACCCGACUGGCGAAGAUUCCCAACAGAGUGCAGUCGUGGAAGAAAUCUGCAGCUCGUUGCGGUGCAGAUGUUGCUCUGUCCCUGGUCCGAGUCCAUUGCAAGGAGGUGUGUGAGGAAAAACUGAAGACGCUGAAGGUCGCCAACACGAAGAAGCUUCGAUUCGAAGACUUCAUGGAGACGUUCCUUGAGAGUGCUACCCACAUCGCCGACGGAAUCGACUUGGACACUUUCGUGCAGCCCUCCAGUCCUGGUGCCGGCCCAGCUGACGCGUAAGAAACUUUAUCCUCGGUAUGCCGAGUGUUUAUCUGUAAGGUACUUUGGCCACUUCUGUUGGCCGUCACACUUUUAAAUCGGUGCGGGUAAACUUGAUCCGCAGCGAGUUAGCUAUCUUUGCGAGGAUUUUGGAAUCCGAUUUUUGCUCUUCUGUUGCAAUGUUGAUUCGAGUUUUUGUUUGGCGUUUCUUGGUGAAGCCAAAGGCAAACAGUCGAUGCCGGAUCGCUGCUAAGCCCCCGAGUGUGACAUGAAGUGCACACUCAGAGAAGGUUAAUACUUAGGCGAUGCUGGAUCGCAGCUAAGCCCCCGAGUGUGACGUGUAGUGCACACUUGGAGAAGUUUAGUACUUAGGCGAUGCUGAAUCGUAGCUAAGCCCUCGAGUGUGAUGUGUAGUGCGCACUCGAAGAAGUGUAGUACUUAGGCGAUGUUGGAUCGCAGCUAAGCCCCCGNUGCACACUCGGAGAAGUUAAUACUUAGGCGACGCUAGACCGCAGCUAAGCCCCCGAGUGUGACGUUAGGUGCACACUCGGAGAAGGUUAAUACUUAGGCAAUGCUGAAUCGCAGCUAAGCCCCCGAGUGUGACAUGUAGUGCACACUCGGAGAAGUUUAGUACUUAGGCGAUGCUGAAUCGCAGCUAAGCCCCCGAGUGUGACGUGUAGUGCACACUCGGAGAAAGUUAAUACUUAGGCGGUGCUGGACCGCAGCUAAGCCCCCGAGUGUGAUGUUAAGUGCACACUCGGAGAAAGUUAACACUUAGGCGAUGCUGGAUNNNNNNNNNNNNNNNNNNNNNNNNNNNNNNNNNNNNNNNNNNNNNNNNNNNNNNNNNNNNNNNNNNNNNNNNNNNNNNNNNNNNNNNNNNNNNNNNNNNNNNNNNNNNNNNNNNNNNNNNNNNNNNNNNNNNNNNNNNNNNNNNNNNNNNNNNNNNNNNNNNNNNNNNNNNNNNNNNNNNNNNNNNNNNNNNNNNNNNNNNNNNNNNNNNNNNNNNNNNNNNNNNNNNNNNNNNNNNNNNNNNNNNNNNNNNNNNNNNNNNNNNNNNNNNNNNNNNNNNNNNNNNNNNNNNNNNNNNNNNNNNNNNNNNNNNNNNNNNNNNNNNNNNNCCCCCGAGUGUGACGUUAAGUACACACUCGGAGAAAGUUAAUACUUAGGCGAUUCUGGAUCGCAGCUAAGUUUUUUUUUUGAGACCGGAGUCUGUGACCGCGGAAGAACUUUGAACCUGCAAAAAACUCAAUCUUCUUUAUAUUAUUUUGCCAAUACAUGUUCGUUACAUCGCUUCAGUCGAAGGUCACGUGUAGAAGCGCUUCAGGAGGUCUCCGUUCCAUGCGCGCGGCUCGUCUGUCUCCCUCUGAAUGUUGUAGAGUCUGUACGCUCCGUUGUUCAGCACCUUGGAGAUGAUGAAGGGUCCUUCCCAGGCCGUAGCCUACUUGUGGGGUCUUUGUUGAUCCACUCGGAGCACCAGGUCGCCUGCUUGGAACGUCCGACAUCUGAAGUGGUGUGCAUGAAAACGCCGCAGAUUUUGUUGAUAAAUGGUCGAGCGAGUUAACGCCAUCUCGCGCUCCUCUUCCAGAAGAUCCACUCCAUCUUGCCUUGCUUGUUCUGCUUCAGCUUCGGAGAAGAGUUCGACUCCUGGCGCAUUGUGAAGCAAGUCACUCGGAAGGACCGCUUCUGCUCCAUAAACGAGGAAGAACGGUGAUCGCCCUGUAGAUCUGUUCGGGGUUGUUCGAAGUCCCCAAAGCACUGAAGGUAGCUCGGUAACCCAAGCGCCAGCGGCAUGUCCUAUCUCUCGCAGGAGUCGGGGCUUCAAUCCUUGCAAAAUAAGCCCGUUUGCCCGCUCUGCUUGUCCAUUGGACUGAGGAUGUGCUACGGAAGCAAAAUCCACUCGGAUGCCCUGGCUUGUAUAGAACCCUUUGAAUCUGUCCGAGUCAAGGUUUGUCCCGUUGUCCGUAAUUAUGCUAUGAGGUACACCGAAUCUGAAGAUGAUGUCCGUGACAAACUUGACGGUUGUCGAAGCGUCGAGCUUCUUGAUGGGCUUCGAUUCGAUCCAUUUCGUGAACUUGUCGACUACCACCAACAGAUGUGUGUAUCCACCUUGGCCUAUCUUGAACGGGCCGACUGUAUCUAAUCCCCACACUGCAAACGGCCACACCAGAGGGAUCGUCUUCAACGCGGACGUUGACUUGUGGGACUUGUUGGAGUAGAACUGGCAGCCCUCACAUCGAUCAACCAUAUCCUUAGCCAUCUCGUUAGCCUGCAGCCAAAAGAAGCCAGCCCUGAAUGGCUUGGCUACGAUUGCUCUCGAAGAGGCGUGAUGACCGCAGGUCCCCGAGUGAAUAUCCUCCAGAAUCAGUUGCCCCUCCUCUGGGGAGAUGCAUCGUUGAAGAACGCCUGAGAUACUCUCCUUGUACAAUUGGCCUUCAAUGACGGUGAAUGACUUCGAUCUGCGGACUAUCUGCCUGGCUUGGACUUCGUCUUCUGGAAGUUCUUGCCUCAAGAUAUAUGCCAUGAACGGCACAGUCCAAUCGGGAAUGACAGCCAGAAUCUCCAUGACCAGAUCAACCACAGCAGGUACAUCGACUUCAGUCGGAUCUGUUGUGCUCUUGGGUUGUAUCGGUUCCUCUGUGAAAGGAUCUUCUUUGACUGAGGGGAGGUGGAGGUGCUCGAGGCAGACGUCACUCGGGACUGGUCUCCGAGUGGAUCCGAGUUUUGCUAACUCGUCAGCUGCUUGGUUCUUCAGUCUUGGAACAUGGUGGAGCUCUAGACCUUCAAACUUCUUCUCCAGCUUCCUCACUGCAUUGCAGUAUGUGGUCAUGGUGGGGUUCCUAACGUCCCACUCUUUCAUCACUUGAUUGACCACCAAAUCCGAAUCGCCGUAGACCAUCAAGCAACGGACGCCGAGUGAGAUGGCCAUGCGCAAUCCGUAGAGGAGAGCUUCAUAUUCUGCCUCGUUGUUGGAGGAAUCAAAGUGUAUCUGCAGCACGUACUUGAGCUUGUCGCCCUUUGGUGAUAUGAUCACAACACCAGCGCCGGAGCCAUUCAACAUCUUAGACCCAUCGAAGAACAUUGUCCAAUGAGCCGAGUAGAUGUGGGUCGGUUGCUGUUGUUCUACCCAUUCUGCUAUAAAGUCAGCCAGGGCUUGAGACUUAAUAGCUUUCUUGGCCUCGAACUAGAUGUCACAGUACAGCAUCUCCAUUGCCCACUUCGCCACUCAGCCUCAUGCGUCUCGAUUCUGGAAAAUUUCCGACAACGGAGCAUCAGAAACGACAGAUACCGAGUGGUCUUGGAAAUAAUGAGCCACCUUCUUCGCAGUCAUAUAGAUCCCAUAGAUAAGUUUUUGAUAAUGGGGAUACCUCUGCUUGGAAGGGGUCAGGACUUCGGAGACGUAGUACACUGUCCGCUGAACUUUGUAUGCUUUGCCUUCUUCUUCUCGCUCGACUGUAAGAACAGUACUGACAACUUGAUUUGUAGCCGCGAUAUAUAGAAGAAGGGGCUCUUUACUGAGCGGAGCAGUAAGAACCUCGCUGAACCCCUGGAUCAGGAGACGACACUGUCGAGUGGUAUGCUUUGCGUAUAUGGGGUUGCCUUCUUCGUCCAUCUUUGUGUGAACCGGACAAGGCUGGUCCAGGAUGGGAUUGUUGAACGGCUUCUUCUUGGGGGUAAACUGCGCCUUCCCUUUGCCCUUGAACUUGGCAUUGGUCACGGCUGCAGCUUCUGCUUGCGGUGUGGGCGGAGCUUUCUGUUUCUGCUUCCAAGUGUUACCUCCGUCAACAUCGCCGACUGUCUUGUGCUUGCCGCUCCGGAUGCGGUCUUCUUCUUCGCCGUUUGCAUAGCGAGCCGCUAUCUCCAUCAUCUUGCUCAUGGAGAUGUCGCCCGUUCGACCGAACUUUAGGCACAACUCUCUGUACCGUACGCCUGCCUUGAAGGCGCAAACUGCUUGAUGCUCGGUGACGUUCUCCACCGUGUGGUAGAGAGUUGUCCAACGCUGGAUGAAGUCACGCAGGGGCUCAUUCUGCUUCUGGACGCAGUGCUGGAGCUCCACAAGGCCAGCAGGGCGCUUGCACGUCCCUUCGAAGGUCUUGAUGAACACUCCGGCCAGAUCUGCCCAACUGUAGAUGCUUGAGGGGGCCAACUGGUUCAGCCACGCUCGCGCCGAGCCAUCGAGCAUCAGAGGGAGGUGCUUCAUGGCGACAUGGUCGUCCCCUCCUCCGAUCUGGACUGCCACUCGGUAGUCAUCCAGCCAUGUUUCCGGCUUGGAUUCUCCUGUAAACUUACUGAUUCCCGCCGCCAAUCGGAAGUUCGGCGGGAUGUCAGCCGAGCGGAUGGCUCGACUAAAACACUCGGGACCAGACACGAUGGCCAUGCUUCCGCUCGGACGGUCCAUAUCGCGACCAUCGCGGUGGGCUCGACCUCUGUCGACUCUUCGCUAGGCGAUACGUCCUCUUGCGUCGGGUCUUGGGUCGUAAGUGUCGCCGACUGAACGCCGAUCAUCCUGAUGUCGGGACCCAUAAGGCCCACCCCGCGGAGGGGUGCGUGAGCGGUGGCGAUCUUCAUGGAUCACGGAACGGCUGCCUCCCCUGUGGCGCUGAUGGGACCCAGGGCUGUGAACCGACCGAUGCGUGUUCGCGUGGACGGAGCUGUUAUAGAUCCGGUUGUGCGACUGGGAGACUGCCGAAUUCUGCUGCUGCGCCGUGUGCAACAGGGCUCGGAUCUGCUCGAUCCCUCUGCCAGCUUCUGAAUCAGUCGGCUGGAGGGAAUCGGCUAUUUUGGCAGCUGCAGCCAAGUUGAGGAGAGGUGUGCGGAACAGCUCCACGUUGCUCCGCCGAGUGUGCCGACUAGCAGAAUGGCGAGGUGGACGACGUGCGCCGGACGUUUCGCCGAUCUCGCGCUCGUUCCGGCCAGCCUGAUGGGGAUCUUCAUGGGAGUUGGCCAUGUGUACUUCUGCUGCGGGCCCGUGACCCGCAUACUCGGAAGGAAACUCAGUCAGAACCGAGUCCGAGUGCUGGGCCGACGGGGCAACCACAACGGACUCAAGAACUGCCACUUGCGAAGAUGCGAUCUGGCGCGCCUGGGCGUGUUGCACGCAACGCUGGAGCCGCGGAUGGCGAGACCGCUUGCUGCGGCGCGUGGCAGCGGUGCAGGUCGACACCGGAGUCGACUGUUGAAGAAGAAGGACGCCGCGAGCGCCGGCACGGAAGUGCGUAGCCCCGCGACGGGGAAGCGCCUCGACGUCAAGGGGCGCAUCCCGAAGCCACGCCGAAUCGUCGACGAAGAAGGAGAGAGCGCCGAAGAGGAUCUGGUGACCCAUGCUCAAAACUCCUCCGGACGACAUGACGAAAGGAAGUAAUCGCAAACUCGCCGGAAGUCGCUUAGAUGCCUGCCCCAAGGUGGGCGCCAACUGUCGUGGGUAUAAGCCUGACAGUAGAUGUGUAGGGUACGAAUGAGAUGGGCAGAGUCCUAGCUACGGCGAGGUUGUAUGAGUUCAGGCCCCUCUGCGGUGGAGGUAACAGCCCUACGUCUCAGUGUUCUCGGAGCUUGUUGUCAAGUGUAAUAUGGAAUACAAUGAUUUGCUAACCCUUCUACCAGUGGGGGAGGGCGGCUUAUAUAGAGUGCGUUGCCCUCCACAACGGUUCCGGUAUAAGGGCGGAGUAGUGGGGAUUGAAUGCAUACGUUACAGGUAACGUAUGCUCUAAAUGCUAAUAAAUGCACCCGGAAACGUACGACCGUUUCCCUCUAGGGAAGUUACGAUGUACCGAGUGUAUCCAGUCGGUUAGCUUGGUAUUCUCCGAAUGCUAGUAUCCGACUGGAUGAUAUAGGACCUGUUGCCGACUGGAUAAUGGGGAUUCCUUCAUUCAGUCGGGGUAGACUUAGGGUCUUGUCCUUUGUGUGGGGUAGUCCUUGGGUAGGACCUGCAUGGCAGGCCUAUGACCCUACCCUAGGACUAUGACCCCAUCAAGACCCAAACUAAUAGAAGUAGCAUGUUGAUCGUGUCAUUUUGUUGCUACUGUUUUCUGCGUGUCAAGUAUUUGUUCCUGUGACCAUGAGAUCAUAUAACUCACUGACACCGGAGGAUUGCUUUGUGUGUAUCAAACGUCGCAAUGUAACUGGGUGACUAUAAAGAUGCUCUACAGGUAUCUCCGAAGGUGUUCGUUGAGUUAGUAUGGAUCGAGACUGGGAUUUGUCACUCUGUGUGACGGAGAGGUAUCUCGGGGCCCACUCGGUAAUACAACAUCACACACAAGCCUUGCAAGCAAUGUGACUUAGUGUAAGUUGCGGGAUCUUGUAUCACGGAACGAGUAAAGAGACUUGCCGGUAAACGAGAUUGAAAUACGUAUGCGGAUACUAACGAUCGAAUCUCAAGCAAGUAACAUACCGAAGGACAAAGGGAAUGACAUACGGGAUUAUAUGAAUCCUUGGCACUGAGGUUCAAACGAUAAGAUCUUCGUAGAAUAUGUAGGAUCCAAUAUGGGCAUCCAGGUCCCGCUAUUGGAUAUUGACCGAGGAGUCUCUCGGGUCAUGUCUACAUAGUUCUCGAACCCGCAGGGUCUGCACACUUAAGGUUCGAUGUUGUUUUAUGCGUAUUUGAGUUAUAUGGUUGGUUACCGAAUGUUGAUUGGAGUCCCGGAUGAGAUCACGGACGCCACGAGGGUUUCCGGAAUGGUCCGGAAACGAAGAUUGAUAUAUAGGAUGACCUCAUUUGGUUACCGGAAGGUUUUCGUGCAUUACCGGAAAAGUUUCGGGCUCAUCGAUAGUGUACUGGGAGUGCCGGGAGGGGUGCCGGGGACCAUCAGGAGGGGUGUCACGCCCCAAGGGGUCUCAUGGGCUAUGGGAAGAGAUAAACCAGCCCCUAGUGGGCUGGAAUAAGUUCCCACUAAGGCCCAUAAGGUUUGAGAAGGAAAAAACACAAGGUGGAAAGAGUUUCCAAGUGGGAAGGUGGAAUCCUACUCCAAGUAGGAUUGGAGUAGGACUCCUCCACCUCCAAUUUCGGCCAAACCUUUAGGUUUUGAGGCUGCCUCCUCCCCUCCCCUCCCCCUAUAUAUACGGAGGUUUUAGGGCUGAUUUGAGACAACUUUGCCACGGCAGCCCGACCACAUAUCUCCACGGUUUCACCUCUAGAUCGCGUUUCUGCGGAGCUCGGGCGGAGCCCUGCUGAGAUAAGAUCACCACCAACCUCCGGAGCGCCGUCACGCUGCUGGAGAACUCAUCUACCUCUCCGUCUCUCUUGUUGGAUCAAGAAGGCCGAGAUCAUCGUCGAGCUGUACGUGUGCUGAACGCGGAGGUGCCGUCCGUUCUGCACUAGAUCGUGGGACUGAUCGCGGGACGGUUCGCGGGGCGGAUCGAGGGACGUGAGGACGUUCCACUACAUCAACCGCGUUCACUAACGCUUCUGCUGUGCGGUCUACAAGGGUACGUAGAUCGAACAUCCCCUCUCGUAGAUGGACAUCACCAUGAUAGGUCUUCGUGCGCGUAGGAAAAAUUUUGUUUCCCUGCGACGUUCCCCAACACAAUGAGUAGUCAAACAAUUAAGUAGCUAUGUGAGGAAUCGCUCUCAAUAAACGUUUUCAGAUCUUAGUAUUUUAUUAAAAUAUAAAACUAAAUAAAAAUGCACUCCACGGAUAGCACAUAUCAUGUGGACAAAUAAGAACUUAGGAUCACAUAGGCUAACCGAUAGUUGUUGACGAAGAGAGGUGGGUUGCAUAGCAUCUCCAAGCUUAGAUUCUUGAGACUUCUUGCAAUAUUUACCUGGGGUGACUUGGGCAUACCCAAUCUUGAAUUUUUAUAUCUCGUUCAAUCCUCUCAAAUCCCAGUUUAACCUAAGUCACAAAAACUUCAUCCACACAAAACUUGAAAAGAACUCGUGAGAUAGGUCAGUACACAUAAAAGUAAAUCAACACUUCAUGUACUGCCAAAACAAGUUGCAUAAUAAUUUUAAAUAUCAGGUAUUGUAUAACAUCUUUUCCACAAUUUAUAUCCACUAAUAUAAGCCAUGAAAACUCGAGUAUAAGUAAAUGACAAAACUAUGGCAGCAACCUAUCCAAACAGAACAGUCUGUAGCUAUCUAUUUAAAUAGUGUACUUAUGUAACUACAAAAAUUAUGAAAAAUUUAGGAUGAGAUAAAUAUUUUUUAUGAUAUUACUGUGUCGAAAUUUUAGAAACUUUACACGUUCCAAUAAAAUCUCAUAAUUCAAAUACUACAAAGGAAGUUUCUGCUUUUGUACAACACACAUCACACAUGCAAUUCAAGCAUUCUAAAGGCAAUUCUUGGAAGUUUUAUUUGAAAAACAAGAUUAUAAAUAACAUAUAACAGAUAAAAAUAAAAUAUAAUGAUGCUCCAAGCAAACCACAAAUCAUGUGAUGAAUAAAAAUAUAGCUCCAAGUAAGAUAUACCGAUAAUGUUAGAGACGAAAGAGGGGAUGCAUUCCGGGGCAUCCCCAAGCUUAGACGCUUGAGUCUUCCUUGGAUUAUUUCCUUGGGGUUGCCUUGAGAAUACCCAAGCUUAGGCUCUUGCUUCUACUUAUUCUCCUCAUAUUGAUAUAUCACCCAAAACUUGAAAACUUCAAUCACACAAAACUUAACGGAACUUCGUGAGAUGGGUUAGUAUAAUAAAUAUAGCUCAUUCACUUAGGUACUGUCAAGACAUGAUUCAUAAUUGUUCUCACAUAAUAACUAAUGUAUCAUAUCAUUCCCAUAAUUUAUAUCACCAAAUAUUAGCUAUGGAAACAUCAAUAUAAGCAAACCAUGCAUGCAAAACAGAAUCUGUCAAAAACAGAAUAGUCUGUGAAGAUCUGAAUGGACACCAUACUUCCCUGACUCUUAAAAUUCUGAAACAUUAGGAAAACAUUUCAUAUAUUUUUAACUCUCUGGUAAAAUCAGAGAAAUUGUGCACUGGAUGUAACAAUUUUUGUUUUGCACAGAAUCAAACAAACAAGUAUCCAAACUAUCCGAAAGGCUUUACUUGGCACGUUAUUGAAAUAGAAGCUAUAAAAUGAUUAACAUAUUAUAUUAAUUAUGUGCACACACAAAAACAAAAAGUAAAAGUUUUGGGUUGUCUCCCAACGAGCGCCAUUUAGCUAGGCAUGAUGGUUUCAGUUAUGCUCGUAUAAAAAGUAGUAACCGAGGCAUGCAAGAGGGCAUCAUGAAUCACAUGACAAAAACAUUUAAGUCUAACCCACCUCCUAUGCAUAGGGAUUUUUCAAGCAAACGAUUUAUUGUAGCAAUAAUCAACUUGCAUAGGAAGGCAAAACAAGCAUGACUUCAAAACUUUGAACACAUAGGGAGGAAACUUGAUAUUAUUGUAAUUCCUAUAAGCAUAUGUUCCUCCCUCAUAAUAAUUUUCAGUAGCAGCAUGAAGGAAUUCAAUAAUAUAACUAUCACAUAAAGCAUUAUCUUCAUUAUCCACAAGCAUAUAAAAUUUAUUACUCUCCCUAUAGGCAAACUUCUCAUACAUAAUAGUGGGAGUAUCAUAUGAAACUUGAAUACGAAAAAUUGUUUCCACAUUAAAAGAGUAAUGUUCACAAAAAGGGUACUCAUAAUUAUGACAAGUUUUAUAAUAGCAAUCAUUACUACUUUUUAUUACAUAUCUAUCAUCACAAUAGUCAUCAUAAGUAGCAACUUUGUUCUCAUCAUAAUCAAUUGAAACCUCUUCCAAGAUAGUGGUAUCAUUACUAAAUAAAGUCAUUACCUUUCUAGAUCCACUUUAUCAUUAUAAUAAGAUUCAACACCCUCCAAAAUAGCGGGAUAAUAAUCAUAUAAAUUCGACACUCUUCCAAACCCACUUUCGUAAAAAUUGCAAUCAUUAGAAAUAGGAGGCACGCAAUCAUCAUAAAAAAUUGAUCAUUCGAAGUAGGGGGACUAAAAAGAUCAUUUCCAUUAUGCAUAUUGAUCCUACAAUCUCUGGCGUUAGCUAGACGAAUGCUUAUGACAACAAACCUUCUCCUGCAACGGCACCAAAAGAAUGUUGAUAGCACUCCCCAGUAAUGAAACUAGAAGAAUGUUGUUGAUGGCCCACCAGCGCAUGGGUUCGCAGCAGUUUUCGAGGAUAGAGUAUUCGACCCAAAUUUGUUGGUACGCCAGGCAGGAGGUGAGAGAAUACUUUCGAGUAUUAGCAACUGAAUUUGUCAGAUUCAACCACACAUGAAAGAUUAGUAUCUGCAAACACAGUAGUAACAACAAAGUAAUAUGAUAACAACGGUGUCAGAAACGAUCUGUUGACGACAGACUAUUCCUAACGAUUGUAUCAAUGGCGCCUCUGUUGCCGCGUUGACGGAAGUUGUCAAUUCCCGUCAACGGUCAGCGAAAAAGUAUAGUAGCAGGUAGCAGCAGUGUAACGAGAAAUAGCAGUGGCAAGGAACAGCAGUAGUGACAGCAGUAGCAAGUAGCUACAGUAGCAAGCGACAGUAGUAGCAACAGUAGCAGCAGAGCAAGACAAGUAACAUCAAUAGCUACAGUAGUAGCAGCAGCAGAGCAAGACAAGUAACAACAGUAGCAACAGUAGUAGCAGCAGUAGAGCAAGACAAGUAACAGCAGUAAUAGGACAAACUCGUAGGCAAUGGGUCGGUGAUUUGUUUGGAUGAUAUUCAUCAUGCAACAACUAUAACACGGAGAGAUAAGUGGCUAGCUCCCGUUCUUCAAUGUGAUGUAGGCAUGCAUUCCGUGUGUCGUCAUACGUGCUUAGGGAAAAGAACUUGCAUGACAUCUAUUGUCCAUCCCUCCCGUGACAGCGGGGUCCAAAAGGAAACUAAGGGAUAUUAAGGUUCUCCUUUUAAUAAAGACUCGGACCAACGCAUUAGCACUUGGUGAACACAUGAACUCCUCAAACUAUGGUCAUCACCGGGAGUGGUUCCGGUUAUUGUCACUCCGGGGUUGCCGGAUCAUAACACAUAGUAGGUAACUACAACUUGCAAGAUCGGAUCUAAAACACACAUAUAUUGGUGACAACAUAAUAAUUUCAGAUCUGAAAUCAUGGCACUCGGGCCCUAGUGACAAGCAUUAAGCUUGGCAAAGUAGUAGCAACAUCAAUCUCAGAACAUAGUGGAUACUAGGGAUCAAUCCCCUUCAAAACUAACUCGAUUACAUGAUAGAUCUCAUCCUACUCAUCACCGCCUAGCGAGCCUACGAAUAGAUUACUCACGAACGACGAAGAGGUUCAUGGAAUUGGAGAGGGAAGAAGGUUGAUGAUGACGAUGGCGACGAUUUCCCCUCUCCGGAGCCCAAGGCGGAUUCCAGAUCUGCCCUCCAAAUGAAGAACAGGUGGUGGUGGCGCCUCCGUAUCGAAAAGGAGACGAAAGCUUCUCUUUUUAUUUUUUCUGGGACGAAAGGCAACUUAUAGAGCUGGCGUUGGGGGCGGCAGGUGCCUAUGGGCCCCACAAGCGUGCCCACCGCCACCAGGGGGUGGUGGCAGAGCACGGGCUUGUGGCCCACUGGCCCACCCCCUGAGGUGGAACUUGGCGCAGAUAUUUUUGAUAUUUUCCAAAACUGCUCCCAGUAAAUUUUCAGGACAUUUGGAGAACUUUGAUUUAUGCGCAAAAAUAACACCAAGGCAAUUCUGCUGAAAACAGCGUCAGUCCAGGUUAGUUCCAUUCACAUCACGCAAAUUAGAGUCCAAAACAAGGGCAAAAGAGUUUGGAAAAGUAGAUACGAUGGAGACGUAUCAACUCCCCCAAGCUUAAAACCUUGCUUGUCCUCAAGCAACUUAGUUGACAAACUGAGAGAGAAAGAAAAACUUUGACAAACUCUGUUUGAUCUUGUUGUUGCAACUAUGUCUAACUCAUAACCAGAAUUUCAGCAAGAUCACAAGUUAACCACAUAAGCAAAUGACACAAAGGUCUCACGGUACACUAAUAUCAAUGGCAUAAUCAGCUAACGAUCAAAUAAUAAUGAGUCUCAAAUACCAACAGUUCAAUCAAAACAAGCAUGAAGCAAUAUGAAUAUGUGGUAUCUCGCUAGCUCUUUAUGAGACCGCAAAACAAAAAUGCAGAGCACUUUCAAAGAUCAAGGGCUGACUAAACAUUGUAAUUCAUAGCAACGAAGAUCCAAUCAUAGUCAUAGUCAAUAUCAAUCAAAAGCAAAGCAUAAAAAUGACAGAGGUGCUCUCUAAUUGGUGCUUAUAUAAGAGGAGGAUGACUCGAUAGGAAAAUAAAUAGACAGGCCCUUCGCAGAGGGAAGCAUUGAUUUGCAGAGGUGCCAGAGUUCAAGCUUUGAAAACAGAGAUAAUAAUUUUGGGUGGCAUGCUUUAAUUGUCAACGCAAUGACCAAGAGUUCUCAAUAUCUUCCAUGCUACUCAUGCUAUAGGCGGUUCCCAAACAGAAAAGUAAAGUUUUAACUCCCCCACCACCAAUCAAUCACACUCCACGGCUAGCCGAAUCCUCGGGUACCGUCCAUACUAACAUCAAUCCGGGGGGAGUCUUGUUUUACAGUUAUGUUUUCAAUUUAAGCGUGGAACUCGACAUCCCAAAUACCGGCCCCUUUCUCGUGAAUGACUGUGAAUAAACACAUGUCAAGGAUAACACUCCUAGCAUGGAAGAUACCAAUAGCCCUCUGUCACCACAUGAGCGGUUCGGGCAUGCAAAACAGAUUAUUUCUUGAAGGUUUAGAGAGUGGCACAUGCAAAUUUACUUGGAACGGCAGGUAGAUACCGCAAAUAGGUAGGUAUGGUGGACUCUAAUGGAAAAACUUUUGGGUUUAUGGAAGUGGAUGCACAAGCAGUAUUCUCGCUUAGUACAAGUGAAGGCUAGCAAAAGAUUGGGAAGCGACCAACUAGAGAGCGACAACAGUCAUCAAGAUGCAAUGAGUUUGACUAACAUUGAAUGCAAGCAUGAACAUGAUAUAAAUCACCCUGAACACGAACAUCACAGAGGCUAUGUUGAUUUUGUUUCAACUACAUGCAUGAACAUGCGCCAAGUCAAGCCACUUGAAACAUUCAAAGGGAAAUACCAUCCUAUCAUACUACAUCACAGUCAUCUCAAAAUCUAUGUUGGCAAUCAAGACAAACCAUUAUAAGCUCUCAGCUAAUUAAGCAUGGCAUCAGAAACUAUGAUCUCUAAGUUGUCAUUGCAAACAUGGUUCUCUCACAACAAAGCUAAAUCUGGGUCGACAAGCUAGUCAUAUUUACAAAAACAAAAUAGAUAGAGUUCAUACCAGCUUUUCAGUCUCAGUCAAUUCAUCAUAUAUCAUCAUUGUUGCCUUUCAUUUGCACGAUCGAACAAUGAAAACGAUAAUAAGUGCAUUGGACUAAGCUGAAUCUGCACGCAAACACAAAGGAGAAGACAAAAUAAUAUGGCUCUUUGAAAGCUAAAUAGGUAAGCAUGUAAGAACCACUAAGCAUUGUAACCAAUAUCUUCUACCUUGACACAAAGGAAAAGAAAGCUAUUUACACGGGAAAGCUCCCAACAAGCAAAAGAAGAAAGAAAAAUCUUUUUGGGUUUUCUCAAAAGGACACAAAACAAGAAAACAAGAAAACGAAAAGAAACUAGCAUGGAUAAGACAGUGGCAAAGUGUAAACACCGGCUAACAAAGUGAAAGCAUAAGCAUGAAUGUAAAGUCGGUGAGAACACGUACUCCCCCAAGCUUAGGCUUUUGGCCUAGCUUGGUCUACUCCCAUGGUGGGAAAUCACCAGCUCCAGGAUACUCUGGAGCAGACUGUGGAUGCCACUGCUGUGCGAGCUCCUCUAGCUCCCACUAAUAAACUGGCGUCUGGUACUCGACUGGCGGCUCAGGCACGGGCGCCUGUGGUUGGGACAAGCCCCAAUAUGCGUAGAUGUCCGCGGGCAUAAUAGUGUACAUGUCUGCGUGAAGAUCAAACAAAGAAGGAGCACGCAAACUAAUAGUCUCUCGAGUACCCUGACUAAACACUAGGUUAUAAAUCAUCCGUCUACUAGCAUCUCCAUCCAGAAAAUCAUGGCAAACCAUGCUGUCAUAAUCCAGAUAUCUCUCAGGGAGAAGCAUCUCUCCUUCCUCUCCUAGUAUAAUGGGUAUCUCAAAGUGUCUGGCAAGACGGGUAGCAUAGAUACCUCCAUAGACAACACCUUUAGAACGGUUCAGGUUCAACCGUUGAGCUACUAUAGCGCCCAAGCUAUAAGUCUUAUCGUUAUAAAGGCCUUCGCGCAAAACCACAAGGUCUGGAGAACUAAGUGAUCCAGCCUCCCCACGGCCAAUCAAAUAUUUUCCCACAAAUAGUGAGAAGUACCGAAGCACAAGAAAAUGUAUGCUAGCAAUUCUAGCGCGAGACACUCCUCUCUCCUCUCCAACAACAAUAGAACCAAUGAAAUCCUCCAAGUCCCGUGGGCGAGGGUCACGGAUAUCCCCAACAUAAGGUAAUUUGCAUACAUUACAAAAAUCCUGCAGCGUCAUGCACUGGGGGACAUCAUAUAUCAUGAACUCAACCGUGGGAGGAUUCUUCCUCGGAUAAAAGUUGAAGCUUUGAACAGAAAUAUUGGUGAGGAGGAGGUAUUGUGGGCACUUAUCUUCAACAAACGUAGUAAGACCUGCGUUCUCCACCAAGUAAUAAAAGUCUUCAUAAAGUCCGACAGCGCGCAAAAAUUCAUCACUUGGCCACUCGCACACUCGAACUUCUGUGACUCGAGGGACUACGUACUUGGGGUGAUUCUUCUCAUCCUCCUUGGUGUUACGGCUUGAAGAGCCUCUCAAGAAUCUCCUCAUCUUUUCCUUUUUCUAGCUCUGAAAAAUUCUGAAAUUUUUAGAGACUUCGAAAGAAAAGUGAAUAAGGAUUAACCCAACUUGUAGCAACUACUCCUACUAGUGCCUAGAGACCGUAUCACGCGCUAAAACUACUUGGGACCAGCUAAAAUCAACUUUUCUAGCUCAAGAGUAGGGUCACCAAGGUAGCAAGAAUACGCGAAGGAUAAAGCACUAGAGCAAAAACUAAUUGGACCUGUGGAGGAGUCACUUACCAAGGAGUAAUUUCCCCAAAACGGUUCGGAGAAUGGUGCUUUGAGCAAGGAGAUCGAAAAUCACAGCCAAAUGAGCAAGAACACGGGUUUGAGCUGCGAAACAAUUUUUCUGGAGGUGGAAGAAGAGGCUAGGAGCUGGAAUGAGUGGAGGGGGUGCCUGUGGGCCCCACAAGCUUGCACCCCCGCCACCAGGGGGUAGGUGGCUGUGGGGGGGCUUGUGGCCCACUGGUCAGGCCCCCUGACCAGCUCUCAGGCCCAGAAAUUUUCAAAAAUUCCAGAAAAAAUCAUACUAAAUUUUCAGGACCAUCGGAGAACUUUUAUUUUCGAGGUAUUUUUCUCCGGGACGCUAAAACAGAAAACGGGAAAAACUAAACUAAUUCUAUCAUUUUUCUUCUAAGCAACAGAAAAGGAAAACUCAAAACAAAGGUAUGUGACUCUCUGAUUCAUCUGUCUCAUGGUCAUCGAAAGAAAUCCGUCAAUGGGAUUGAUCAAGUCCUUAUGACAAAACCUUCUCGAAUCGCAAGAGAGAACGGAGAAUUUUUGAAUAGCCACUAAGUCACNNNNNNNNNNNNNNNNNNNNNNNNNNNNNNNNNNNNNNNNNNNNNNNNNNNNNNNNNNNNNNNNNNNNNNNNNNNNNNNNNNNNNNNNNNNNNNNNNNNNNNNNNNNNNNNNNNNNNNNNNNNNNNNNNNNNNNNNNNNNNNNNNNNNNNNNNNNNNNNNNNNNNNNNNNNNNNNNNNNNNNNNNNNNNNNNNNNNNNNNNNNNNNNNNNNNNNNNNNNNNNNNNNNNNNNNNNNNNNNNNNNNNNNNNNNNNNNNNNNNNNNNNNNNNNNNNNNNNNNNNNNNNNNNNNNNNNNNNNNNNNNNNNNNNNNNNNNNNNNNNNNNNNNNNNNNNNNNNNNNNNNNNNNNNNNNNNNNNNNNNNNNNNNNNNNNNNNNNNNNNNNNNNNNNNNNNNNNNNNNNNNNNNNNNNNNNNNNNNNNNNNNNNNNNNNNNNNNNNNNNNNNNNNNNNNNNNNNNNNNNNNNNNNNNNNNNNNNNNNNNNNNNNNNNNNNNNNNNNNNNNNNNNNNNNNNNNNNNNNNNNNNNNNNNNNNNNNNNNNNNNNNNNNNNNNNNNNNNNNNNNNNNNNNNNNNNNNNNNNNNNNNNNNNNNNNNNNNNNNNNNNNNNNNNNNNNNNNNNNNNNNNNNNNNNNNNNNNNNNNNNNNNNNNNNNNNNNNNNNNNNNNNNNNNNNNNNNNNNNNNNNNNNNNNNNNNNNNNNNNNNNNNNNNNNNNNNNNNNNNNNNNNNNNNNNNNNNNNNNNNNNNNNNNNNNNNNNNNNNNNNNNNNNNNNNNNNNNNNNNNNNNNNNNNNNNNNNNNNNNNNNNNNNNNNNNNNNNNNNNNNNNNNNNNNNNNNNNNNNNNNNNNNNNNNNNNNNNNNNNNNNNNNNNNNNNNNNNNNNNNNNNNNNNNNNNNNNNNNNNNNNNNNNNNNNNNNNNNNNNNNNNNNNNNNNNNNNNNNNNNNNNNNNNNNNNNNNNNNNNNNNNNNNNNNNNNNNNNNNNNNNNNNNNNNNNNNNNNNNNNNNNNNNNNNNNNNNNNNNNNNNNNNNNNNNNNNNNNNNNNNNNNNNNNNNNNNNNNNNNNNNNNNNNNNNNNNNNNNNNNNNNNNNNNNNNNNNNNNNNNNNNNNNNNNNNNNNNNNNNNNNNNNNNNNNNNNNNNNNNNNNNNNNNNNNNNNNNNNNNNNNNNNNNNNNNNNNNNNNNNNNNNNNNNNNNNNNNNNNNNNNNNNNNNNNNNNNNNNNNNNNNNNNNNNNNNNNNNNNNNNNNNNNNNNNNNNNNNNNNNNNNNNNNNNNNNNNNNNNNNNNNNNNNNNNNNNNNNNNNNNNNNNNNNNNNNNNNNNNNNNNNNNNNNNNNNNNNNNNNNNNNNNNNNNNNNNNNNNNNNNNNGGAAAAGUAGAUACGAUGUAGUCGUAUCACAUAUCAUCCCCAAGCUUGGGACACACAUCAAUUGCAACAAAUAUAUUCUCAAAUAUGUCAUUCUCAUCAAACAUAGCAUCCCCAAGCUUGUGGGUUUGCAUAUCAUUAGCAUAACCAUAAAUAGUAUGAAUAGCACCAUUAGUGCAACAAUUAUUAUCAUCAUAAUUUUCCAAGUUGGUGCUGAAAAGUUUUAAUAUUAUAAGGAGUAUCAUUAUCUUACCAAUCAUCAUCAUCACAACAAGUAGUAGACAUAACAAAAUAACAAUCAAGUGUAUCAUCGUCCACACUACUUUCGUAUUCAUUCUCAAUGAUCAAAGGAGCAACAUUAUUUGGGAGAGAUACCUUUUUACCUCCACUUUUCCUUCUUUUCUUCUUCUUCACCACCUUAUGUGUGGGUUUAAGUAAUUUAUCCAAGCCUAUUGUUGAAGAGAUAGGAAGCUCCUCCUUGCAACCUAAUUCAUUACGAGAAACAAUAGGAGGGUAUUGGGAGACCUUUACCCUUUCAUUAGUAUUCCUUUUAUAUUCUAUUGGUUUCUCAUUCUUUCUAUAGUUGGCAAUAUAAUCAUUCUCAUUGCAAUUCAUUACGCAGAACAUAUAGAUUUCUUGUAGAUUAAUUUCAUUAUCAUUAGUGAUAAGGAAUAUAUCAAACCAAUCAUUUUUAUGUGAGAAUUCUUCACCCCCCAAAAAUAAACAAAGUUCAUUAUAGAGUUCACGGGAGAGAAAAUUAUAACAAUAUUUGGAAACGGUUCGAUCAUUAAAAUGCAUGCAUUGGAAAUUAAGAUAACCAACCCUAUUGCAAAGUUCACAAGUAAUGGGAUGAGGAGAGUGUUAGGGCAUAUUUCUCCUAAGUGGUUUUAGUGAUUGAUGACAAUUGUUGUGCGGACUAAUCUUGUGUCUUGAGCAUUUCAGACUAUUCUCUUCUAGGCACAAGAUGACUCGACGCCCCUCGGAGGUUCUCAAAAACGGACUUUCUUCUACGUUUCUCUUCCUAGUUUGAGUCAUAGGAAAGUCUUCUUAUUAAGAGGGGGUCCGCGUCGAAAAGGCUUGGGUGGAAUCCUCACGCACACACUUCAUGCACCUGCCUAUAUUUUGGCCUCAAUGGAGCCCCAAUGAGUGUAUUCUAUGCCUAUGCGAAAAGGGUAAGCGGUAGUACCGCUGUACCAGUGGUAGUACCGCUGGCACAGCGAUAGUACCGCUCUCAGAGCGGUAGUAAAUUUUUACUACCGCUCUAGGAGCGGUACUGCCGCCCCAGGUGCGGUAGUAAACUUUUACUACCGCUCCAGGAGCGGUACUACCGCCCAAAGUGCGGUAGUAAUUUUUUACAACCGCUCCAAGGGCGGUACUACCGCCCUCAGUGCGGUAGUAUUAUUUUACUACCGCGCUGACGGGCUUUUCUCGCAUACUUUUCCCCAAGGAGGUGUUGGCACGGUAGUAUCCCGAUACUACCGUGGUUGGUGCGAAGCCGAGCGGUAGUACCGCUCCCGGGAGCGGUAGUACCACUCUAGGUAGCGGUAGUACCGCUCCAGGAGCGGUAGUACCGCUUGUACCUUUAUGUGGUAGGUGGGUAACGGGUGGAUCUGCCCCCUACUAUAUAAAGGUAUCUUCUUCUUCCUAGAGCUCACCUUCAACCCCUCUAAGCUCCAUUGUUGCUCUACAAGCUCAUUUUAGCCCGAUCUCUCUCCCUAGCCAAUCAACCUUGUUGAUUUUCUAGGGAUUGCUUGAGAAUGCCUUGAUCUACACUUCCACCAAAGGAUAUUUGAUUCCCCCUACUAAUCCCUUGCGGAUCUUGUUACUCUUGGGUGGUUGAGCACCCUAGACAGUUGAGGUCACCUCAGAGCCACAUUCCAUUGUGGUGAAGCUCGGUGGUCUUGUUGGGAGCCUCCAAGCAUUGUGUGGAGAUUGCCCCAACCUUGUUUGUAAAGGUUCGGUCGCCGCCUUCAAGGGCACCUAUAGUGGAAUCACCGCACCUUGCAUUGUGCGAGGGCAUGAGGAGAAUACGGUGGCCCUAGUGGCUUAUUGGGGAGCAUUGUGCCUCCACACCGCUUCAAUGGAGACGUAAUCCUGUCAAAGGGAAGGAACUUCAGUAACACAUCCUCGUCUUCAUCGGUUACACUUGUGGUUAUCUCUUACCUUUACUUUGUAUUUGUUGUUGUUGUAGAGUAUCUUUUACUUGCUACUUUACUCUUUGUAAGUAGCAUCAUAUAGGUUGCUCACCUAGUGUCAUUUUAGAGAACCUUUAUGUUGCUACUCCUUAUUUGUUAAGAAAAGCUAAAAAUUGGUAGUUGCCUAUUCACCCCCCCUCUAGUCAACCAUAUCGAUCCUUUCAGAGAGCAUAAUCUUGUGGCAAAUUCAUAUAUCACUUUAAGAUACCAAUUAGUUUGAUCUUGUUUAUGCUUCUUACAAAAUCUAUCAUCCCUAUAUGGCAUGUCUUUACAAAUUUUAUUCACUCCACAAAAAUUGACAUGCUUAUAGGAAAUAUUUUAGCAUCAUGUACAUUCGAAGAAUUCAUACUAACAAUAUUUCUAUCAUGCUCAUCAUUCAAUGAUUUCACAUUAAGCAUUUUCACAAAUUCUUCCUCUAGCAAUUGAGCACAAUUUUCCAAACCAUCAUUUUCAUGAAAGACAUUAUAGAGACGAAGCAAAUGAGGCAAUUCCAUUUUCUAUAGUUUUCUCUUAUAAACCAAACUAGUGAAAAACAAGAAACUAAAAGAUUUAAUUGCAAGAUCUAAAGAUAUACCUUCAAGCACUCACCACCCGGGCAAUGACGUCAGAAAAAAGCUUGAUGUCUACUAUGCAACUUUAUUCUUGUAGACAUUGCUGGGCCUCCAGGUGAGAAUUUUGUAGGACAACAACAAAUUUUCCUCAAGUGGAUGACCUAAGGUUUAUCAAUUCGGGGGGAGGCGUAGUAUGAAGAUGGCCUCUCUCAAACAAGCCUACAAUCAAAUACAAGAAAUCUCUUGUAUUCCCAACACAACCAAUACAAUGAAAAAUUCUAUAGGUGCACUAGUUCUGCGAAGAGAUGGUCAUACAAGUGUAGUAUGGAUGGUAGUUAUAGGUUUUUGUAAUUUUAAUAUAAAAACAGCAAGGUACCAAGUGGAAAACAGCGAGCAAAACAUAGUAUAAAUUCUUUGAAAUAAGGCUUAGAGUGUAUACUUUCACUAGUGCAAUCUCUCAACAAUGCUAACAUAGUAGAAUCAUAUGGUCAUCCCUCAACAUGCAUCAAAGAAUCACUCCAAAGUUCCUAUCUAGCGUAGAAUAGUAAGAUGAAAUUGGUGUAGGUAGUAGAACCACUUCAAAGUUAUUCUUUCUGAUCCAUCUUUUGAGCUAUUCCUAUAAGUGUCACAAACAACCCUAUACUACGUACUAGAAUAGCACCCAUGAUACAUAUCAAUCAACCCUAAUGUCACCUAGAUACUCCAAUGUCACAUCACGUAUUCGUGGGUAAAUUAUGCGACAUGCAUCAAACAAUUUCAGAUCUAUCAUAGUCAAUCCAACACAAAGAACUUCAAGGAGCACCCCAAUAUUUCUAUCGGAGAACAUAGUAUGAAAAUGUGCAAUCAACCCCUAUGCAUAGAUCCCCAAGGUCAUAGAAAUCCGUAAGUUGAUGCCAUAACAUAUAUCAAGUGAAUCACUUGAAUACCCCAAUGUCACUAUGGGUAUCUGCAUGCAAGACAUACAUCAAGUGUUCUCAAACCAAAAUAUUCAAUCCAACAUAACAAGAUCUUAAAGGGAAAAAUUCAAUUCAUCACAACAAUAGCAAGGGACAAACACCAUAUGAUCCAACUAUAUUAACAAAGCCCGUGAUACAUCAAGAUCAUGACAUCUCAAGAACACGAGAGAGAAAUAUUAAACACAUAGCUACUGGUACAAAACCUCAGCCCCAAGGGUGAACUACUCCCUCCUCGUCAUGGCCUCCGUUGGGAUGAUGAAGAUGGCCACCGGAGAUGAUUUCCCCUCUCUGGCAUGGUACUGGAAAGGCUCUAGAUGGGUUUUUCGUCGAUACAGAGAGUUGCGAUGAUGGAGCAGAAGUUCUUUCUUUACUUAUAGGGUUUCUGGUAUAUAUGGGAUUUUUGAGCGUUGUAAUCAUGCCAAACGGAGCCACGUGGGCCCCACAAACUAUCAGGACGCGGUCUAGGAGGCGCCCUAUUGGCUUGUGGCCUACAGGUGGCUCCCCUCGAGUGGUUCUUCGCUCCAAUAUUGCUUAUUUCCUCUAGAAAAAUAUAAAAAAGUUUCGGGCGAUUUCGAGAACUUUUAUUUUCCGCACAAAAACAACACCAUGGCAAUUCUGUUGAAAACAUCGUCAGUCCGGGUUAGUUCUAAAUAAAUCAUAUAAAGUGCAUCAAAACAUAUAAAAGUUAUGGCUCCAGCUUGCGCCCGCUAGAGANUGGCUCCAGCUUGCGUUCGAUGGAGAGCGAAUCCGACACGUGAUAGGUUGCACGUUAAGGCUCCAGCUUGCGCUUGAUGGCGAGAGAAUCCCGACACAUGACAGCUUGCACGUUAUGCCUCUGGUUUGCGCUCACGAGAGAGUGAAUCUCGACAUGUGGUGGCUCAAACGUUACUGCGCACUCACCCUCGUUAGGCGAAAGACCGGUCGACCAAGUGCAUUUCAUAUGGCUAGGGGGAUAAGGCGGGCAUAGUCGCACCGUGUCUGUGUCAGAAAAGGAAAGACAAAGUGGGAGUAGGAGUAUUUUUUAGAAAGAAUGUAAAAACAUUCAUCUAAAAAAGAGUGUAAAAAUAAUUCAAUUCACAUUUUUUCGCCGACUUGUUGAGGAAAGGGGUAGUUAGGUGCUGGGCACUAAAAGGAGGGUAAAUAAUUACGUUUACACUAGUAUGGUGAAUCAAUGAACCACUCAAACAAUGUGUAGACCCAACCAACCAACCAAUCUUUGUCUUAUCCACACAGACGAGUGUGUGAAUCGACGAAGGAAGGAACGAUCCCCCGUUCCGUCGUCCGGUUGGCCCUACAGUGGUACUACUGGCUUCGGUCACCGGCAAAAUCCGCUGGGCAAAAGCCGACGCCUCCGCACUCCACACCAACGAACCCACACCCCCACCGCCCAUGACACACCGGCCCCACAAGUAAGCGUCAAACCCCGACGCGGCCGGCGCAAGGCUUGCUUACCUGGGCGCAGCAGGGGCUUGUCGCGCGCGGGCUCACCCGCCGGCCGUCCGAUCCCCCACGCGUACCGCCGGAUGCGCCCCGUCGAAAGCUGCAGCCGCUGCCAGUCCGCCCCGGUCCCCAGCCAUCGAACCCCGAGCAUGUCCUCCGCGACGCAAACCGCGUAGUACUCAGCAGCAUAACUCAAUGACACCUCGGGCCCGCGCGCGCGGGGCCGGCUCGUCACGGACCGCGUGGCGAGAGGUGCCGGUUGGGUAAGGGGGCCUUGCCCGAAACGGGUGUCACGGAAGGGGAGGAGGCGGAGGAGGCCUGGCCUAUUUGCUCGCAACCGCCUCCCCCCUCCACUCCACUCUCAAGCCUCAACAACCCAAAACCCCCGUCCAUUAUUCACUCUCCCCUGCCCCUCUCUCUGCUUGCGUGCGUGCGUGGGGAGCGUGAGCCGCGAGGAGAGGAAUCCAAUGGCGCGGGCGGAGAGGCCCAACCCCUGCGCGGCGUUCCGGUCCGUGCCGCCGCCGAUGCCCGCGCGACGCCUCGCCGCGUCGCCGAGGGCCGCGUCGCCCAAGGUGACGAUCAGCCCCCUCUUUCCCUUUCUCUUUCUCUGAUUGAUCGACGCAGGCAUGCCGCUACUUUUCCCCGCCCCCAAACACCCCGGCGGUCGCCUAGGGUUUCCCGCGUACGGACUCGCGGCGGCGGCGGCCUCGGCCUCGAAUGGGGGUAGGGCCGGCCGCCGGGACGGGGGUUUUUGUCGAUGAUCGAAUACUUCUCUUGCCUUGGUUGCCGUCCCGUACACGCCGCUCGCUUGCCCUCCUGCUACUUAGGGCCGUACCAGCUAUCCCCAAAUGGAUUCUUGCAUUUUUGGGGUUUUCUUCUUGCCCUCGGAUGUUCGUCGAUUCCUUCGCGCAGGGGAAAAGAAAACCCCAUUUCUUCCUGGAGCAUAUCCCCUCCGGCCUUUUUUUUUCCUUUUCCUUUUCUUUUCGUCAUCCCGAGCUUAAUUUUGCCCUCUGCUUCGUUGUGCUCGUCGACUGCCCUGUACUCAUCAUCGAACGCGGCACUCAGUUUGCACUAGCUACUGCGUGUUGUAGGGUAACCGGUGCGAGAUUCGCUCGCUCUACUUCCAUAUUAUCUUCUUUAUUAGGUACUCCCUCCGUCCCAUAAUAUAAAAGCGUUUUUUACACUAGUAUAUUGUCAAAAACGCUCUUAUAUUUUGGGAGUACUACUUAAUUUGUUACCGGUGUGACAAUGCUUGUUCCGGGCAUGAUUGUUCAUCUUGUCCGGCCGUCUGGAGUGGUAUACAUCCAAGAUCCAACUGCCUAGGCUUACCAACUUUCGCACUUGGAUUAGGAUAAGCAUGCUUGUCAUGCCUUUCCUAGCUAAUUAAUUUUAUACAGAGACCGAUGAAAUCGUUUAACAUCUAUUUGUUUCGUUUUACUGUUGCAGGAUGCACCUUGUCAUACCUCUGGCGGCGAUAGAGGCCAUCCAGGGCAGUGCAAAAAACCUCCAGACCAUGCGUACGUUCUUCUCAUGCUUAUGUAACUUGUGCUUGGGUCUGGCAACAUAGAGCAUUAUAUACAAGGGAAGCAUGUCAUCGUUUCUCCAUUUGUCAUCCUGCUUUGGUUUCACUCUUCUGUUAAAUGCCUGCUGUUUUCCUUUUCGAGACAAAGUAACAGGAGCUUUGUGACAAGUGUUAUCUGUAGUGAAUGUCUUAUGUUUAUGUGAAGCAUGUCCCUAGUCUAGCAACCAAAAUCUCAUGCCAUGGGGAUUGUCUACUACUCUGUCUUGUCUGUGUCAUGGGCCCAUUAUGGUUCAAAUAACAAUUGACUAUAAGAUUCAUAAUAUUCGUAGCUAUUACUUGGUAAACUCAUGCCGUAUCAGGUUUUAUCGACACUUAUGUAUUUAACUUGAAAUGACCCGUGCAUUCGUAUGGAGAUCAGGAGCAUAUCAGUGCAAACCACUGGCAAUUGUACGAACUACGCACAUUGACCAUUUUAUGUUGGGCUGAUGACUGACCAAUGUAUCACAUUUGGUGGAAUUUAAGGGGCCCAUCUUGGAUAAAUCUCGUAAUAGCCUGUUAUAUUUGAAGGCACACACCUUAUUAAUACCCAGUUGAAUCUAAUCAGUUCUUUUAUCUAAUGUAUUUAUCAAGUGAGACUGAGUGUUUGCAUGAUUAAACAUGGCUAUUUGGUUUCCCUAGACCAUUUAAAGAAACUGCACAGGGGAACGCAGGUUGAGGUCAAUAUGAAUGUGCAUGAUCCAGUAACAUGAUAUUUGAUAAUCUUCUACUCCCUCCGUUCCUAAAUAUAGGUCUUUUUAGAGAUUGUACUAGUGGACUACAUACGAAGCAAAAUGAGUGAAUCUACAUUCUAAAAUAUGUCUAUAUACAUCCGUAUGUAGUCUUCUAGUGAAAUGUCCAAAACUACUUAUAUUUAGGAACGGAGGGAGUACGUAGUAAGCUGACAAAUACUCUGUUUUCCAGAAGUCUGUAUUCAGUCAUACACCACUAGGAUGAUUCUGAGUACAGGGUAUGUUUAGUUUGAGCCCAAAUUCACCAUCCUAAAAAAUGCUAGCCAAAAUUUUAGCGAAUGUUUUGCUUGCCAAUGAUUUGGUCAAUAUUGGCAAGAAAAAUUAACUAGAGUUGGCAAGUUUGCAUAUGGGCAUGCCAGGAAAUUGGCAAUCAUUCAGACAAGGACCAAAAUUGUGGCUAUGAACAUACCUCCCCACAAUAAAAUAAAAGCAGAAAUGUAAGGGAUAUAUAUUUAUAAUGCUUCUCCGUAUGUUGCUUUAUGGCUCAUGGUGUAAUUUCAGUCUAUAAUUUGGGUUAUGCAUAAGUGUAGUGAGCAUUGAGACAUGGUAUACGCCUUCUUCAUUUUGUAAAGCUUGUUAGUGAAGUGACAUUAUUUGAAGCAUGAUAUAUCACUUUUAUUUUUUGUGGGAAGCUACAUCUUUUGUUUUUUAGGUUCUUGGCAUACCAGUAAGUCAUUGCUGUUGCCUGGAUUGCACUUAAAUAUCAUUCAUGUCUUGCAAAAUCUAGAUUCUAGUAUGUUAUUUCUGAUUCUAUUUAUUUUACAAUGUAUAGUAACUUCCUCUCUAUUUUACAGCAUGCAUAAGCCGUUUGGCGGUACAUAUACAAAACCUGAUGCAAGAGUAAAGUUGAUUCCGGCAGAAGACAUCACUUAUGUACGACAUGGAAAGCCUUUUGGUAGAACAGUUGGCUCAGCAAAGCUGCAGAAAAGACACUCCAGACGAAGUGUCACUCCUCCUCCGAGUUCGCGUAAAGUUUCUCUUGCGAGGUCAACACCACUUACUCAGAAGUCUACGCCACUGUUUACCUCCAAGGCCAUGCCACCGCUUAAUCACAAGGCUUCAGCGCCUUUUACUCAUAAGGCCACAGCAUCUCUUAAUCACACGGCCAUGGCACCUCUUACUCACAAGGCCGCGGCUCCUCCUACUCACAAGCCCACGACGCCGCCCCUUUCUGGUUCAUCGUGUCUUUCUCCUAAGAGAGUUGAGACAGCUCACAAGGCCACAGGACUUCUUAGUCCCAAGCAUGCUACACCACCCUUGCCUGUUGCAUCGUGUCUUUCUCCCAAGAGAGUUGAGACAGCUCACAAGGCCAUGGGGCCUCUUAGUCCCAAGCCCACUACACCACCCUUGCCUGUUGCAUCGUGUCUUUCUCCUAAGAGAGUUGAGACAGCUCACAAGGCCACGGGACCUCUUAGUCCCAAGCCCACUACACCACCCUUGCCUGUUGCAUCGUGUCUUUCUCCUAAGAGAGUUGAGACAGCUCACAAGGCCAUGGGACCUCUUAGCCCCAAGCCCACCACACCUCCCCUGCCGGUUGCAUCGUGUCUUUCUCCUAAGAGAGUUGAGACAGCUGAAAACAGGCAACCAUUUUCUCUCAAUCGGCCAUCACCACUCUACAAGGCUGUCCAGAGAGGUGCAUUUCCUCCAUCUGUUUCACGGAAAGAGUCAGAGAUGAAUCCCAUCAAUCCUAGUUCUGUGCAUGUUCCUCCUGCAUAUUCAAGGAAGGUUCCUCUUGAUAGAAAGGCAGAACCUUCUUCUAAGAGUGUCAGCACACUUGACAACAAAAAGUUAUGCUCUACAAGCAAUCAGGCUGCACUUAGAUGUCAACCUACAAAAAGAGAUGCAGAUCCUAUUGUGGAAAAAGAAAAUACUGUGAAGCUUCCAUUAAUGAGCCCAACAUCUGUGCUUAGUUCAAGUUCCACCGAGGUAUGUCCAGAUACUGGAUCAAGGUCUGCAUCCAGACUAAAUUUGUUUGAUGAAAAAUGCAAGCUGGACUCACCGCAGCCUGAAACAAACAUACCUCAAGCAAAAAGCCCAGAGUCUACAACUCCAGCCCCAUAUGCUCAACUUUCCAAUGAUUUGAGAGCUGUUUCCUCCACUAAGAUCAUUGUCAGGAAUGAGAGACAAACGAACCAGGAACCAUCAAUUACUUGUAACAUCUCUUCAGGUAUAGUUAUCAUCCUGAAAGUAAUACAUUGCAGAAUCCUGAUGCAUGAUUUAGC
rnacentral:lncRNA from 1 species